GAAAUGGCCCGGCCUAGCCCAUUCCUCGAAAGAAGUUUUUACGGGAUCCCUAUCUACCAAAAUUUUUACUUCUGGUUCCGGCGAACGAAUAAUCAUUGAGUCCUCUUCUUUCCGGACAACACAUACAAAGAGACCCGCCAACAGUCAACAAUUAGUGAACCUAUGAGAGACGCUUAUAAUUAGUUUCUUUCUCUUCUAUCUCUCAUCUAUCUAUCUAUUUUUUAUCUAUUAUUUUUUCUUUAGUUAUUCACUAGAGCAAUUAUGAUCUGGAAGUCGAUCCGAGGCAAGUGUUCUGAUCUAUUAUGACAUAUCCAUGAGGCGCUCAACGAGCCUUUUUAAUCUUAUAAAAUAUUUUUCGGACUUUACUUACAUUGGUGCAAAACCCAUUUUUUUGUGCAACCGGUGUAGUGUAUUCAUCUCAAUUAAAAGUUCCGAGGUGGAGUUUUUUUUGUCUUACAUAGAUAGAACAAACAAUAUUACUCUAUCCCAAAUCACGUGCGCAUUCAUUACUACAGGAUACUCCAGUAUCGAUAGUUAGUCAUUUGAGGGGCUUUUAUUAGUUUUAGUUUUAAUAGAAAUAGAAGCAGAAAAUAUAUAUUAUAUAUUUUAUUUUGCUAUAUCCGUGUAUUACUUAUCCUUACGCACGAAUACUAAAAGUACUAGUAAUUACCGUUUUUCUAUUAUUUAACUGACAAAUUGAAGUGAUUAAAUUAAACUAAAAUUUACUAAAUUAAUUAACCAAGAACUCGACAAAAAACAAAUCAGGAAAAUAAUCGAAUAAUAACUAAGAAGCGAAACAAUACCUAGGAAAGAAUCCACCUAGACUGCAUCUAUCAUUAUCAAUAUGAAUUAAACAAUUUAUUAGACUAUAAGCAAUUGACUCUAGGUUGAUUAAUUGAAAUUUCUUUCUAAUUAAAACUCCUAUUAUCGCAUUAACUUGAUCUAUGAAUUCCCCUAUUACAUUUGACUCUAAUUCAGUAGAUUUAUGUCGUUCUAUUUCUAAGAUUGCAUGCAACUCCACUCAAUUAUGUUAGAUCUACUCUUAAAUAGGGUCUAUUCCUCCUCUGAAUUAAGCACACCAAGCAUGAGUUAAUAAUUCAUAAAUAUUAAAUCAAGAUUUAAGCACAUAUAACUGAGAACAAGAUUCAAGUAUUUAUUGCAUAAAACAGAAAUAAAAAAACAGAAUUCAUCAUAGGGUUCAUCUUCCCUAGAUAUUUAGAAAAUUAGUUCAUAAUCGCGAAUAAAAACAUUUCAAAGUCAGUAUAACCACAAGAAAUCAAGAAACUCAUAAUAAACUUCAAAGAGAUUAAAAGGAGAUCUUUAAUCUUUAUGGAAAUCUACUUUAGAAUCGACUUCAAUGGCAUUUUUCGAGUUAUUUUCUUCAAUCUUCUCUGACGGCCCCCUCUUCUCUUCUUAUAUUUGGUAUUUAUAGGUCUUAAGAUGCCCAAAAAACCUAAAAAUUGUAUUUUUUUGCGUGUCCAGAGUGCGAAUCGUGAAAUCCACACGGUUUGGCACAGUGUCGUGUGGCUCACACGGCCAUGUGGGAAGGCCUAGCCCAUGUGGCUCCUGAAAUCUGCUCCAAUUAUUCGAUUUACGCUCCGUUUUCACUCAUUUUUCCCCCAAAUGUUCUACUAAGUAUAGAAACAUGAAUUUAAAGAAUCAGGAGCAUAAAAUUCACCAUUUUGUAUUGAUUAAUCACUCAAAAAUGCAUUAAGAAUAGAAUUAAAAUAUAUUACUUUUGACAUUUAUUAGUUAUUGUGGGGAGUGUGAGUGCAAACAAUUAGACAACACUGAUGCUGCAAUUAUCCAUGUGAGAGUUGAGUUGAUUGGGCUUUAAUAACUGUUUACCAAAAAUAAUAGUUAGCGAAUUCAUUCUCUGAGCUAAACUCUACAGCGGUGAGAUUGUUAAUUCGAAUUGCAUUAACAAUUAUAGUUUUUUUCUAUUCUUUUACUCCCAUGUUUAACUUCCAAAAUAAUCGGUCGAAAAAUUUGUUACAACAUCUAUUUCCACGACUUGAAGAAAUGCAAACCAAUGUGCUUUUUCAAAUAAUAUUUGCAAAACAUUUCCAAUGAAAUUAUCUAUCUCAACCUUGUUGGUAUCUAAAUUCUCUAUCCAAACUUUCAAUACAUUUGUAAAUUAGUAUCUAAAUUUUCUAUCUUGGUUUAUUCUCUUUGAAUUAACUUUUUCUUUUACUUUGUUGAACAACAUUUCAAGUUUUACUAAAAACCUAAAUUAACCAUUAUAAUUUAUAGCCUAUUUAAUAUCUUUUCAAAGCUACUAGCAAAACUCGUCGAUUAAAUCACAAGAAGAAGAAUAAAGAAUUUGAGUUCAUGUUUUCAGUCCACAUUAAUCUCAUAUUUGAUUCCUAAACAACUUCACCCAUACUUUUUUAAAAAAGAAAAUGACUAGUAAGACCCACUAGUAAGAGAUUAUCCUUUUUUUUUUUUUUGCUUCAUUCAAACUGCACUGUUGUCAAAGACGGACAGAGCAGCAAACAAUCUAAGAAUACAGUCCAUCUAAAAAAACCUGCAAUACAACAAAACAAAUAUUCACCACCAAGCUUUAAACAUUUGCGCCCAAUUAACACCUGCCAUCGCCAAGGAGAAAGCCAUUUCGUUACCAUUCUUAUCCGCCAAUGAGAAAACGACAGUUCCAGCCUUUAACAUAUUAUUUUCAAUAUCUGCAAAAAUUGCUUAAAGCGUCCAAGGUCUCAUAACAUUGUUAACACACCACAAAAACACUACCAAUGAACCUAUUUCAAUAAAUAAAGAAUCAUUAAUCUUCCAAUUCAUAGCCAAAAAAACUUCUAGAACAACCUUCACCGCACUAAUCUCAGCCACCGCGGCAUCAUUUACUACUACUGCACCAGAAAAUAGCGCUGUUAUUAUAUUUUAAACUUACCAUGGAUAUGUCAAAGAAAGGUGAUUUUAGAAGCAAAUGAAUACAGACUUCCUUGAAUUAAUCUUAAUUUUUUUCUCUAUACCCAUUGUUUGCAUCGUCGUCCUCUAAUUGCUUGCCAUCAAAUGUUAAUACAAAAAGACUUUAAUUUGUAGUCCCUUUGCUUAGUUAAUAAAAUAUAGACUCCUUUCAUCGAAACAUACUAAUUAAGCAAUCAAUCAAGUUGACUUUUAGAGAGUUGUUUGGUUGUAAUUAAGUUGGAUAAUUAAUAUUAAAUAAUUUUUCUAGUAUGUAACGAGGUUUAGUUAAGGAUGACAUGUGCCACAUCUAUGAUUUUAUUAAUAUAGUUCUUAUCGGUUCAUUUUUAGUGAUUUAAUUCUAGUUUUAGUUUAGUUUCAUUUGUUUCCUCAUAAAUAAGUCUGAACUGAUAACAUCUUUUGUUGUUGUGAUUAAAAUAGAGGUGUUCAUAAGUUAGAUCCCACUCAAGCAUGAUAUUAACAUACUUUAUGCUAGUCUAAACCUGAUCUAACUCGAAAUAUAAGCCUAGAAUUUAACUUAAACCCGUUCAUAUUUGUGAGAGGCUAACUCAAGCCCAUUUUAGGCUUGCCCCUGUUUUAAAAUUUUUUUAAAACAAAAGGAAGGCCGAGUUUAGGUCUACGUCAAAAGUCCAGAGAAAAAUAAGGUUCGGGAGUCGGUUACGCGCGGGGAAGGUAUGAGCACCCUCGCGACGCCCAAAAUUGGUAUCUUAUAAACACGUGCUGUCUUGAUUUUCAAAAAUGCGAGUUCAAUGUAAUAUUUAGUCGUGAUCCGAUUGAAAAAACGAAAAAUUUUAGUUUUUAUUUUUUUUGGUUUUUUAGAAGGGUGUUCCGUCUUUAGCACGAGCCGACAAAUUCCACCCAACAUAGCGAUGAAAUCUACGACUUAAUGUUAAAUCGGCGCGUUGCUUUAUUUAUUGAAAUUAAUUAAAACAUAAGAAAAAAAUAUUUCUAAAGUGAGAAUUUAAAAAUAGAUAAACGACGCAAACAAUGAUAUCAUUAAUGAAAAAUUUUAACAUGGAAUACUAGAAAUUAUUAUAACAAUAAUAAUGAUAUUUGCAAAAAAAGAAAAUAAAAACAAAUCAUGUACUAAUAAUAAGAAAAAAUGAUAUAUUUGGUAAUAAUAAUAUAAAAUAAUAUGUACAUAAAAGAUACUUCAUAUAUAUGCAUAUAAUAAGAGUAUAUAAUAAUAAUAAUAAUAAUAAUAUCUACAAUAAAAGAAAAUAUUAGGAAAUGUACAAAAAUAUAUAUAUAUAAAAUAUUUACAAUAAUGAUGUAAAUAAACAACAUAUAAAAUAUUUGAAAUAACAUAUAAAUGAAACAUUUUAAAAAAAAGGUUAAUAAAUAAAUUAAAUAGAUUUAGGACAUGGCUAAAAACAAAUUAAAAUUCGGGAUAUAAAAGUAUAAAUAUUGGAUAGUUAAUUAGGGAUCAAAACGAAAACCAAACAAGAUCUGAAGGCCAAAUUUAAAAAAAAACAAAAGAAGAUAGAAAAUGGGGGUUAAUUGAAUGAGGUUGCGAGAGAGGAGGACUAAACGCAUAAAUUUCCCUUUUAGGGAAAGUGCACAUACCCCACCCACCAAACAAAAUAGUGCCGUUUCAACACCAUUAUUUAAAAACAAAGAUUUUUUUUGUGUGUGUUUCACUUUCAACCCCCAAUCUUAAAAAAACAAAAAAACUUCCAUGCUCUCUUCCCCUCCCCCUUUUUCUUUCUGUCGAUUGGGUUCAUUAGAGACCCGCCCUACCGCCAACGACGACGGCGGUGACCGCCGUGUACAGCGAAGGAGCGCAACCUAGGUACGCCUACUUUAAAAUUUUUUUAUGUUUCUUUGUUAAAAAAGGUUUUCUUGAAAAAAGAAAAGGAAAAAAAAUGAAUAAAUAUGAAAAAAACAAGGUAAGCAGAGAACAAAAAGAAGAAAAAAGGAAAAAAAAGAACAAAACUAAACCUCUUGAACCUUCCUUCUCUUUUUUUGUUUUCGUAUCCGUUUUUAUUUCCAAUAUCUGUGUUACAAUCUUUCUUUUAAAAAAAAAUAAACCCCUCAUUUUACAACAUUUUUGAAUGGCUUUUUAUAGCCAUCUUUUACAAGUUUUUUUAUUACUUUUUCCAUAUUUGCCCGUUUUGCUUGUUUGCUCUGUUUUUGCAGGGUAUGGGGGUGACUGGUGGAGCAGGUGAUGGUGGCUGGUGUCAGAGGAAAGUGGGGAGGUGGCUAGGGUUUUUUUCUUUGCUGGAAAACGUUUAGUAGGUUAGUUUAGGUGGGCUGUUGGUUUAGAUUGGGUUUGAUGAUGUUGGGCUGAUGAAAUUGGGGUGGGUAUUUGGUUGUAUUUGGGUCAAAAUUGGCCUACAACAGCUGCCCCUCUUUGCUCAUUAUCGUGUAACGGGAAUAGAGCAAAGACAUAAUGAAAGGUCAAUUUCGCCCGGUCUUGCCAAUUGUUGACUUCUUUGGCGCUCUUCCUUUCCGGGCAGUCUCUUACUAGUCCAUCGCAUCUUGUAACUUUGGUUCAGUUCAUUGCAUCUUCUGAUUUGUAGCUUCAAUAUACUUCAAUGUAGUUUCAAGGAUAUGAGAUUUGUGGCUUCCAUCUGCUUCACUGUAACUUCAGAAGGAUAAGAUCUACAGCUUCAAUCUUCUCUUCUAUUGCUUCCGUGAGAUAAGGUUUUGGUCUUCUCUUCUGCCACUUCAGAAAGGCAAGAUCUGAUAUCCUCGACCAGCUCCACUGCAACUUCAGGGAGACAAAAUCUAGUGCCUUCAAUCGGCUCCAAUCUUUGUUCUUUACUCGGUGUGUGAUCCUGAGCUCAACUCAUUUCUCACAAUAUGAAUUGACUUUUAAAAACUAGACAUUAAAAACAGAAAUUGAAAAAUAGCUCAGCACGUGAGCAAAGACUCAACUCACUUCUCGCAAUAUGAGUUAAUUUUUGAAAACAGAAUUUGCCAAACAGAUUUUGGAAAUACCUUGGCAUGUGACCCGAGGCUCAACUCACCUCUCGUAAUAUGAGUUGAUUUUUGAAAAGCAUAAAUUGAAAAAACAUUAAUUGAAAAUACCUCAGAGUGCCUCGAGGCUCAACUCACCUCUCGCAAUAUGAGUUGAUUUUGACAAACAGAAAUUGAAAAGACCUUAGCAUGUGAGCCGAGGCUCAACUCACCUCUCGUGAUAUGAGUUGAUUUUUGACAAAAAAAAAUUGAAAUUACCUCAGCGUGUCCUGAGGCUCAACUCACCUCUCACAAUAUGAGUUGAUUUUUUUGAAAAGCAGAAAUUGGAAAGCAGAAAUCGAAAAUACCUCAGUGUGCCCUGAGGCUCAACUCACCUCUCGCAAUGAGUUAAUUUUUUUUUUGACAAACAUAAAUUGAAAUUACCUCAGCGUGUCUUGAGGCUCAACUCACCUCUCGCAAUAUGAGUUAAGUUUUUUUGAAAAGCAGAAAUCGAAAAUACCUCAGCGUGCCCUGAGGCUCAACUCACCUCUCGCAAUAUGAGCUGAUUUUUGAAAAACAUAAAUUGAAGAAAACAGAAAUUGAAAUUACCUCAGCAUGUCCUGAGGCUCAACUCACCUCUCACAAUAUGAGUUGAUUUUUGAAAAACAGAAAUAAAACAUCAGAAUACCAAAACAUGUCAUCUGGUGGAAUUCAUGUGUCUUUUCAGCUAUCAUCACAUCCUCUUGCUCUACUGGAGUACCUGUAUAUGUCAUGCAUGAUGUCAUCAUCAUAUGCACAUGUUUGUCUUAAAUGCAUUUAUGCCUACAUGAUUAUGAUAUGAGCUUUAGGCAUGUUUGUCAUAUAUCCCUUUUUCGUCACGAUUUUUGAUGAUCUAUGUUCAUUGUUUCAACUCUUGACUUUCUCUUCAGGCUCUGUACCCGUCCUCAAGCUUCACGAAUAAUCUGUAUUUCCCAAAUAUCACUCUUUUGCCCCUGGUUGAGUUUUGUCCUUGCGUUGAGGCUCUUGUACUUAUCAAAUUCUUACCCGGGUAAUGCUUAACAUUUCUUUUGUCUAGAGUAUGUCAUUUCACUAUUUAUCAUGUAAACGGACCACAUAAUGAGAUGCAUGAAAAAAAUGGUCAGGUAGGGACAAAAGGAUACCUCGCAUUUAUUCAUUUCAAAUGUGGUAAACAAAGAAAGUUAACCAAUAAUAGUAAAAAAGUGUCAUAAAGAGAAAAGGGAUUGCAUUCAACGAAUACAAAUGCUCUAGAUAUUCAAUUCAUGAACUUUUCCACGUUUCUCAAUUAAGAAUCUUUUCGAGCAUGGCUUCUUGCGUAAAAGAUUUCGAGUUUUCAGAAAUGCUUCAAAUACUGUAGUCUCACUAUUUGACCCACCGUUCAAAACGCCUUGUUCUUUAAGCCCGGGUUUGCUUCAUUAGAAUGCCCUUUCGAGUUUUCAUCCUAAUCUUUUGUGUUUAAUCAAGAUGCCCUUUUCGGGUUUUCACCUUGAUCCCUUUUUUCUCUCUUUUUUUUUCUUUUUUUGCUUUUUUUAAGAUGUCCUUUUCGGGUUUUCAUCUUGGUUUCCCUUUUCAAGCAUAAUAUUUCUUUACAGCAUCUAAGUUCACUAGACUCGGUAACUCCUUCCCAUCCAUCUCGGUGAGAAUCAAAGCUCCAUCCGAGAAUGCCUUCUUUACGACGUAUGGUUCUUCUCAAUUCGGUGCCCAUUUUCUUCACAGGUCUCUUUGUAUUGGGAGAAUCUUUCUCAGCACGAGUUCUCCUUCUUGAAAUUCUCUUGGCCGUAUUUUCUUGUCAUGAGCCGCGAUCAUUCUCUCCUGGUACAUUUGUCUAUGACAAAUUGCCUUUAGACGUUUUUCUUCGAUGAGGUUUAACUGGUCAUAUCGAGCUCGAACCCAUUCUUCUUCCUCUAAUUUUGACUCUAUUAAGACUCGUAGAGAGGGGAUCUCAACUUUGAUAGGUAGCACAGCAUCUAUUCCAUAGACCAGAGAGAAAGGAGUUGCCCCCGUAGAUGUCCAAACAGAUGUGCGAUAUGCAUACAAAGCAAAUGGUAGCUUCUUGUGCCAGUCUUUAUAUGUCUCAGUCAUUUUCCCAAUAAUCUUCUUAAUAUUCUUGUUGGCCGCUUCAACCGCUCCAUUCAUCUUUGGGCGAUAGGGCGAGGAGUUAUGAUGCUUUAUUUGGAAUUGCUCACACACUUCUUUCAUCAUCUUGUUGUUCAAAUUUAAGGCAUUAUCUGAAAUGAUUCUUUCAGGCAAACCAUAUCGACAAAUGAUUUCCUUUUUCAAAAACCUGCAAACCGCAGUCUUCGUCACAUUGGCAAACGAUGCGGCUUCUAUCCAUUUUGUGAAGUAAUCAAUGACCACAAAAAUGAACCAGUGUCCAUUGGAAGCUUUUGGGGAAAUUGGCCCUAUAACAUCUAUGCCCCACAUAGAAAAAGGCCACGGAGAAGUCAUGACGUGAAGGGGCAAAGGGGCUACAUGAAUUUUAUCACCAUAAAUUUGACAUUUGUGGCAUUUUCGUGCGAAAUUAAUGCAGUCACUUUCUAUCGACAGCCAGUAAUAUCCGAGUCUUAUAAUCUUCCUGGCCAUAGUGAAACCAUUGGCAUGUGUCCCGCAAAUUCCUUCAUGGACAUCUUUAAGUAUUUUUCUAGCUUCAACUGUAUCCACGCAUCUCAAGAGCACCUGAUCUUUUCCUCUUUUGUAUAGGAUGUCCUCAUCAAGAAUAAAUUCCGUUGCCAUUCUUCUGAUUGUUCUUCUGUCGUUCACAUUUGCUUGCUCGGGAUACUUUUGAUUCUUGAUGUAUUCUAAGAUAUCAUGGAACCAUGGCUGCCCAUCUGGCUCUUUCUCAAUGCUGAAACAAUGUGCAGGGACUUCAUAUAUGCUCAUUUGAAGAGGCAUUAUUUCUGUUUCUCUGUUUGCUUUAAACAUUGAAGCCAAAGUGGUCAGGGCAUCAGCUAACUGGUUUUCUUCUCGUGGAAAGUAAUUAAAAGUUAUUUCUUUGAAUUCUUUAAUUAACCCUGCCACGAGAUCACUGUAUUUGACUAAUUUUGAAUCCCUCAUUUCUCAAUCUCCACGGAUCUGAUAAAUCACUAAUGCUGAGUCUCCGUAUACCUCUAAAGUUUGGAUGUUUUGUUCAAUUGCUGCACGAAGUCCCAUGAUACAAGCUUCAUAUUCCGCUAUGUUAUUGGUACAGAAGAAAUUCAGCCUGGCAGUGAACGGAUAAUGGUUCCCUUCUGGUGAUACUAAGACUGCUCCAAUCCCAUGCCCCAAUGCAUUCGAUGCACCAUCAAAGCUCAUCCUCCAUGACUUUUCUUUUGAUGACUCACAUUCUUUUUCUGUAAUGCACAUUAAGUCUUCAUCUGAGAAAUCAAAUUUCAAUGGCUCGUAUUCCUUCGUUGUUCGAGUUGCUAAGAAGUCAGCUAUUGCACUCCCUUUUAUCGACUUUUGGCUCACAUAGACGAUGUCAUAUUCUGAAAGUAAGAUCUGCCAUUGUGCCAUUCUUUCUGAGAGUGCGGGUGAUUCCAUCAUCUACCUUAUUGGGUCCAACUUUGAAAUUAGCCUUGUCGUAUGAUACAACAUAUAUUGCCUGAGUCUCCGAGCUACCCAAACCAGAGCGCAGCAGUAUUUUUCUAUGGAUGAAUACUUUGCCUCAUAUUCAGUAAACUUUUUGCUGAGGUAAUAGAUCACCUUUUCUUUCUUUCCUGACUCGUCGUGUUGCCCCAAUACGCAACCCAUUGAAUUCUCGAACACAGUUAAAUACAAUAUCAAUGGUCUUCCCGGCAUUGACGGUACUAGCACUGGAGGAUUAGACAAAUACUAUUUUAUCUUGUCAAAAGCCACUUGGCACACCUCGUUCCAUUCUUCGGGAUUAUGUUUUCGAAGGAGUCGAAAGAUUGGGUCGCAUUGGUUAGUAAGUUGAGCGAUAAAUCGGGCGAUGUAGUUUAACCUCCCUAAAAAUCCUCUGACUUCCUUUGGCGUGCGCGGUAGUGGUAACUCUUGAAUAGCUUUUAUUUUAUCUAGAUCAACCUCGAUACCUCUUUCACUGACAAUGAAGCCCAGUAAUUUUCCCGAGGUAGCCCCAAACGUACAUUUGGCCGGAUUGAGCUUUAGUUGGAACUUUCUCAGUCUGUCGAACAAUUUCUUCAGGUUCACUACAUGCUCUUCUUCCCCUUGGGAUUUAGCAAUCAUAUCGUCGAUGUAGACCUCUAUUUUUUUAUGCAUCAUGUCAUGGAAUAACGUCACCAUAGCCCUCUGAUAUGUUGCCCCAGCAUUCUUUAACCCAAAUGGCAUCACCUUGUAGCAGAAUGUUCCCCACAUUGUUACGAAUGUAGUUUUCUCCAUAUCCUCAGGGGCCAUCUUGCUCUGAUUAUACCCUGAGAAUCCAUCCAUGAAAGAAAACAAUGAAUGUUUUGCUGUGUUAUCCACCAACGUAUCAAUGUGUGGUAAGGGAAAAUUAUCUUUAGGACUUGCUCGAUUCAGGUCACGAUAAUCCACGCACAUUCGUACUUUGCCGUCUUUCUUUGGUACCGGGACUUAUUAGCCACCCAUUCUGGAUAUUUGGAGGCUUGUAGGAAGCCAGCAUCAAAUUUCUUCUUGACUUCUUCUUUUAUCUUCAACAACAUUUCGGGUCUCAUCCGUCUUAACUUUUGUUGAACGGGUUUGCAUUCUGGCUUUAAUGGGAGCUUAUGGACCACUACAUCUUCAUCCAAUCUUGGCAUGUCUUGAUAUGACCAUGCGAAUACAUCUUUGUACUCGCGGAGCAAAGCAAUCAAAUUAUGCUUGCUGCCCCCUGAAAUAGAAGUCCCAAUCUUCACUUCUUGCUUCCUUUCUUCAGUUCCCAAAUUUAUUGUUUCAACAGAUUCUUGAUGAGGCAAAAUCUAUUUAUCCUCUUGUUUCACCAUUCUUAGCAAGUUAGGAGACGAUACAUAGUCUUCAGCAUUUUCUUCGACUUCAAAUUCUCCUAAACAAACAGCCUUCUCAAAAUCGAUUUCAGAACUUGUAACGGGUUUGUUCAUGCUGUUGAUAUCUGAGCACCUGAAAGUUGAAUGGAAAAGGAAACUAUAGAGGGGCAUCUAAGUAUUGAAACCAACAAACUGAAUGUUAUGGUAUGACGUGAGGCAAUUGUAAAGAUAGGCUAUAAAAUGAUUAUGGAAUUAGUGAUAAUGCGAAAAAAUCGUGACAAAAUGCAUCUUCAUUGAUAUUCAUUUAAAUGAUAAAGAGCGAAUGCAAGCUCUUACAAAAAAAAUUAUGUUAUAUCUGAGGACAUAACAGAAUGUUAACGUUUGAUCAUUACUCUAAAGACUUAUAAACUACAAGAAGAUCCUGGGCAGUCCAAUUGUUCAACAUGAAACCCGGGGGAAAAAGGCGUAUCUUUGAGAUGUCUUUACUCGCGUCAGCUCCUUUGUCAAUGACAUUUAUACUGAUAUUCUGAAAACCCUCUUCGAUCAUUAACAUUGUGCUUUGUGCACUAUACUUCCCUAGGUAUAUCAUUCCCGCAGACGUAAAUAUUCUUGACAAAGGAGGAAAUUCCAUGGGCUCCCAUUCUGGUUCUCGGCCUAGUGUUCUUAUGAUCCUUCUUUCCUGAUCUUUCUUUCACUGCUUUCUUCUUUGACGCAUGUCCGGCUGGAACCCUAAACCGUAUCGGGCCUUGUGGUGUACUGGCUUUAGAGCCCUGACUAUUCCUUGCAGGUACCUUCCCAAACCUUUCCUUGCUCGGGCUCCCUUUUCUACAGUCAAUUUGACACCCAUCUUGGUAUUUCUCGAUAGUUUUGGCGCGGGAAUUCUGUUUCCCUCAGCGACGAAUAUGGCAUUGACGAAUUCAAAGGAUCAGAAGGAACAUUCUACUGCGUCUUUGUUUACUUCGAGGUAGGGUGCAUCAGCAGAGAUAGAUGCGACAAUGUCUUCUUCUCCCUCGACAGUGACCAAACAACCAUCCAUGAUAAAUUUCACCUUUUGAUGGAGGGAUGAUGGUCCUGCUCCAGCAGAAUGGAUCUAAGGUCUUCCCAAGAGACAAUUGUAUAAUGGUGUAAUGUCCAUGACUUGAAACUCAUCAUUGUAUAUGUAGGGACCCACUUCUAGAGGGAUCUCGAUUUUUCCCGUAACUUUUCGUCUUAUUCCAUCGAAUGCCCUUACUGUAGAAUGGCCGGGCCUUAGAUAGGACAAAUCCAUCGGAAUCCUGGAAAGUGUGGCCAAAGGCAUGACAUUGAGUGCCGAUCCAUUGUCGAUGAGCACGUUCGGUAUUAUAUAGCCCUUACAACGGGUUGUGAUAUGCAAUGCUUUCACUGAGCCUCUACCAUUGGGCGGUAUUUCAUCGUCACUAAAGGAAAUGAAAUUAUCCGCAUUUAAGUUGUUCAUCCAUCUAUCCAGUUUUUCAACGGAUACAUUGUUUGUCACAUAAGCUUGAUUUAAUACUUUCAGCAGAGCGUUCCGGUGUGGUUCUGAAUUCAACAGCAGAAAUAAUACCGAGAUUCGCGCUGGCUGCUUACUCAAUUGUUCUACCACGUUGUACUCACUAUGCUUGAUAAAUUUUAAGAAUUCCUGUGCUUCCUCAUCGUCCACAGGCUUUUUAGCUUCUUGUUCAGGCACAGUUUCAUGCUCCUCUUUGGUCACGUGCAUCGGUGCUUUUCCUUUCUGUUUCAAGUCACUGUUCUUCUUCACCUCCUUCGAAUAACAUCUUCCACUACGAGUGAAAUGACCUACUUCCCCGACGCCUCCAGUCAUGGCUUUGGGUUUUUCAUCUUCAGGUGUGACGAUAUUAACGUCAUAUUUCUACGGUACUGUUUUAUUAUCCUUGUAAGAGAAAGGAGACGGUACUUCAAUUAUCAUUUUUUGUUUCACCGAUUCCUUCCUUGCUUCGUAAUAAAUUACGAAUGGUCGAUCGGCGCUAUACGGACAACUUGACGAUUGAUUGUCAGAGGCACAUUGUAAUAUCCUAAAUUAGGGCUUAAUCGGAAUAGUGGUUUCGUGACCACAAAUCCAAGAUAGAAAUAAUUAUUUUAUAAUUAUUUUGAUGAUUAUGAUAUGAUUGCAUGAUUGUGUGAAAAUUUCGUGAUGAAAUUCUAUGCCUAAAGUGCUUAAAUUGAAAGUAGGGACUAAAUCGAAUAAGUUGCAAAACUUGCAUUCUAGAAGUUUUUAGUAUGAAAUUGUUUUGGAAUAUUAAUGAGAAGGUCUUAAAUAGCAAUUUGACCAAUUUUAAGUUCAUGGACAAAAUUAGGACAUGGAGGGAAUUUUUGGAAAGUUUAGUAGUAAGGGUAUUUUGGUCAUUUAGUUAUUAAAAUGAAUUAAAAACAAAAUUAAAAGCCAAUUUUUGUCCAUCUUCUUCAUUAGGCCGAAAUUUCAAGGGUUCUCCAUAGCUAGGGUUUGUUUCAAGCUUCCAAGCUCCAUAGUAAGUGAUUCCAAGCCCCGUUUUUAAUGUUCUUUACGUUUUUGGAAUCCCGAAAGCUCGAUUAAGCUUAUGCUAGCAAUAAUUCAACCUAGGGUUUAUAUUUGGAAAAAUACCCAUAGGUGAAAUUUGUGUAUUUUGAUGUUUUAUAAUAGAAUAUGGGGUUUUAAAUUAUGUUAAACAACUUGUGCUACUCGGUUUUUAGUGAAAACGAGUAAAAGGGCUUAAUCGGCAAAAAUACCUAAUAGUCACAAGUAUAUGUUAGAGAGAGAAUUUGAUGUUGCUAUAGAAGGGAAAAAUGAUCAGCAUGUUAUACACAUACUUCUUGCUCAUUGGCCUCUUCUUGAUUAAUGAUCACAAUCUCCUUAUUAUCUAUCCGGUCUUGCAGUAACCUUUUAAAUUCCUCACAUGAUUGAAUGUCGUGCCCUACAAUUCCAUGAAAAUCACAAAAAACCUGACAUUCUUUUCUGAGAUUAUCGUUGGGGUGACAGAGCAAUCCAUUCUUAACCAGUGCCUCCCAGAUUUUCUGCAGAGGCGUCCUUAUUUCUGAAACACAUCUUCUGACUUGCCAUUCAUCUUCUUUCCCCACUGUGCUCACAUUCCCUUCAGUAUGGUUAGGGAACGGGUUCCCAAUUGCAUUACUGGCACUAUCGAAUCGUAGAAUACCCACAUCAAUUACUCCUUGAACUCUCCUCUUAAAGGCUAGGCAAUUUUCCGUGGAAUGUCCUUGGUUUCCUGCAUGGUAUGCACAACUAGCGUUUGGGUCGUACCAUUUCGCGUAUGGGGGCCUCAAGGGUGCCAUAUAAUGCGGGGAUAUCAAUUGCUUUUCCAAAAGUUUUGGGUACAGCUCCCCAUAUGACACAGGAAUAGGGGUAAAUUAUGGUUUCUUGGAAUAGGGUUUUGCUGGCCUCUGCUCAUUUUUGGGUUGGCCUUGGGCGGGUAUUGUAUUUUGUGGGAAUGUAGUGACGGGCCUUUGGUUGUUCAUGACGUAUACGGGGUAGAAAGGAGGUGGUGCUCGGUAGUAAGGGGUUUGAGGAGGAUAAUAGAAAUUUGGAAGAGGAUAAUUUUGAGGUCGGGGUUGGUUUGAAUAUGGGUUAGGGGCAUAACGGCUUCCCAUUCCCACCAUGUGGGCUUCUAGUUCUUUCUUCUUCAUGGGUGCUGCCCUUCUUGAACUUUCUUGACCUUCCAUUCUACCGCUCUUGACGACAUUUUCUAUAAGCUCACCGGAUAUUACAAUAUCCGCAAAGUCUUUCGUGGCACUUCCCACUAGUUUGUCAUAAAACGGUAUUUUCAAAGUGUUGAUGAAAAGAACGGUUAUCUCCGUUUUCGUUAAUGGGAGUUCCACUUGGGCUGAGACAUCCCUCCAUCUCUGCGCAUACUGUCUAAAAGUUUCUGACGGCUUUUUCUCCAUCAUUUGUAAAGUCAUCCGGUCUGGUACCAUAUCCGAUACAUGCUUGUAUUGCUCACAAAAUGUUGAUGCCAAGUCCUUCCAAGAUCAGAUCCUUUCCCUACCAAGCUGGUUGUACCACCGAAGAGCCGAUCCUACUAGACUGUCCUGAAAACAAUGUAUGAGUAGCUGGUCUUCAUUCACGUAACCAGUCAUUUUUCGGCAAAACAUGACAAGAUGCGCCUUUGGACAUCUUGUGCCAUCGUAUUUUUCGAAAUCAGGCACCUUGAACUUCGGAGGCAGAACUAGAUCGGGCACCAAACUGAGCUCUUUGGCACUUAGUGCAGAGAAGGCUUUAGUACCCUCUAUUGCUUUGAGUCUUUCCUCUAAGCUCAUAUACUUCUCUUGAGCCUCAUGAUCGUCCGUUCUCAACCUGGCUAUUUCCGCUGGAUCGUCCAAAUCUGGAACAAUUGGAUUGGUGGGAUUAGCUCCAGAAUUUGAUAUGAAUAUUCCUUGCCCUAAAUGAGUAUGUGGCACCGACCGUUGCUCUGGGUCUGUGGGUUCUCCUUGGGUGUACCCUCUUUGUGCUGCGCGGGCGUAUGGUGGAGUGAAUCCGGGGGGAUAGAGUGGGUCUUGAUUGUGAUUAACCCUUGACCGAGAUUCCUCGAUGUCAAGGUUCUGCAUGGGUCCCUUUCCUUUAACUAAAGCUGACAUCAUCUCCAUCAUCUUGGCCAUUUGAUCCUUCUGUUCGAGCGAUUCUUCUCGUGAUCUCACCAUUAAGUCUCUCGUCUCUUGCUGUGACCUAGCCAACUACUCUUGUAAUUCCUUUUGGAUUCUUUCCAUUCUUUCAAUCCUUUCAUUGAAUUCAACCUCCAUUGUUCUAGUUUGCCGACGCGUUCUAUACGAGUGGCGUGGUUCCAGAUUUGAAGUAUUGCAACUGCGAAUUGUACGUUUUAACCUUAGCAAAUGAGUACGGGAUAUGCCAUGAAUGAAUGAAUAAAUGCAUGCAUGCUUGAAUGCCAAAUGGAUAUUAGUCAUGAAUGACAUGUAAGGAAUUGGUGUUGAUUUCAAGAUAGCCCCUAUUUAGGCAUUUCAUUCAUCAAAAGAGUUCAUUACAAAACAUUUUGCCAUUUUUGAUUCAGCUAUUACACAAACUUUCUAGCUAUAUCGCCAUAUUUCUUUAUUCACUCUAGGAAUUCUGAUAUGCUCGAUCGUUGGCUUGGUGGGAAUUGGCAACUGAGAUUUUCAGCUUCUUCCGAUAAUUGUACCACGUGCAUGGCUACCCCACGAACUUCAUUGAUCAAAUAGCUAAGUUGCCUUUUUUUUUCCUGGAGGCCCUCUUCGCAAGCACGAACGUCUCUAUCAUACUGACAAUCUUUUUCUUCCAAAGCCUUCAAGAGAGUAUCUAACUGUUGUUGAUGAUCUUGCAGCAUAUCUUCUAACUCUCGUAUCCUUUCUUUUAGUUCUUGACUUUUAGAUCGACUAGUCAUCACCUCGGCAGACACUACUUCAUAUUCGGCGUUCUUCUUCCUCAAUUCUAUCAUAGCCCGCGUAGCCUUUUCUUCUUCUUUCUUUGCUUUUCCUUUCCAAAAUUCCAUCCCUCCUUUAAUGUUGCUUAUCUCCUCUUUCCAUUCUGCCGAUGACUUGCCCAGCCCACUAUUUUUCAUUGUGCCUCUUAACUUAUUAUUUUCCAGAUGGAGGUCUCUUAAGUCAUUUCUCACGACUUCAACUUCUUUUUGCACUUUCUUGGUUCUGGAUCUUUCAAUCUGAAUGUCGAUCUUCAAUUGGUAGUUUUCUUCUUGAAGGGCACUAAGGUCCCGAGACAUCUUAGUCUUUUCUCGUUCAAAUUCUUGUCUUGCUAUUUCUAGCUCAGGCGGCAUUUCCUCUGAGAAAAGAUUCUAGACGGUGGAGUUUGUUGAUGAGAUUUCCUGACUAUUUAUCCGUUGCUUCCUCCAUAUGUUAUAAUCUUGAGUUAGGGUAUCAGCAUAUAAGGCCAAUUCCAUUAGAUGAAUUUUCUUCCAAGAUUUUGCAUUGUCUCGGACCUUCUUCAUAUAUCCUUCACCCGCGAAAGCGAACUCGGAUUGUGCCAAUCCUCCAGCGGCGGGUAUGAAUUGCCGCGAAGAAAAUUACCUUCGGACUAAUAAUGGGGCAUAUCCGACUCCUCCCCAUAAUCUGAGUAGUGGCACCCAAUCUUGAUCUCUGACCUUGUAUAGCAGACCUGACGGGCGUAUCCACGGGGCUCUCCAAGUUACGUCAUCGGCGCGAAGAUUCUGAAAGACUGAGACCCAGUGUUAUUCAGUGACCUCCUUCGGCCAUUCUUUCUUGAGAUAAGCUUCUAACGGGAAGAAUGUUUUAGAAAAUAUAUGGACCGGUGUGCGCUCUACUUUCCAGAAGUAGCUCAGAAUCCAAACAUUAGGUAACUGCGCGCAUCCGAUAAAACGACCUUCCCCUUUCUUCCUACAGCUACUUAGUGAUCUGAAGGUUUCGGCCAGAAUAGUUGGGACGGGGUUGAUUCCUUAUUUUAAUCUUUCAAAGAAAUCUACCACCGUAACUUCUAUGUGUCCAAGGAUCUUCGGGAAGAUGAUCAAACCGUAAAUGGCCAGAGUGAACAGAUUUACCCUUUUCAACAUGUCGAGAUGGUUCAGAACCAAGUCUCGUAGGGAAGACCAUGGGAUACAAAUGGUUUCAUUCUUCUUCUUUAUCUGUUUUUUGACCCACGCGUCAGUCAUGUCUGUCACUCUUACUAACUUUUUCUUGAAGGUCAUUGGCUUAGGCUCUUUCACAUAUAUCUUAUAGGGUUGUAUAUUAUCGACACGGAGCAAAGCAGUGUACUCUUCUAUAGUCAGGGUCAUGUCUUCCUGAUUGAAAGUAAAACAGUGGUAGGCUGGAUCCUAAAAUCUGACCAUGGCUUGGAUCAAUCAUUCGUCUACGCUGACAGCAAUCAAGUUGGCUAUGUCUCCAUAUCUCUCGGCGAAGAUACCUCUAGUAUCCGAGUCCUACUGAUUCCAAACCCGAACCAAAUCUUCAAGGUUAUUCUGGCGAACAUUUACAGUUACGUGCUCGGGCAAAUUGGCAAUACAUCCCUCCACUAGACUAUCCCCUUUUUCGUUCUGAGUUUUUAGAGACCAAUCUCGGACUACGGUAUUUUCCUCGGUUGUUUGUAUAAUUGACUCUUCCAUUAGAAACUCAUUUUUGGCAACCUAUCUUUAGUCAACACCUUUCUAAUAUGAUGCCUAUAAUGCAUGAUGAAAAACAAUACAGCAAAGACAAAUAAUCUUGAUUAGUAAUUAAAUACAGACAGAAAAAAUAUGGAAAAUUGAACGAAUCAAAUUACCCAAAUCUAUUUUAUUAAACAGACCCAAUCCCCUUUGUAUAGACAAUGAAAAUGCAAAAGGCAAGAGGCGUUCCUCCCGUGCACUUAUUUUGGUGACUACUAAACGGACGGAGGUUCAGCAUGGCUCUAGUUAGGUGGCUCGUAUGGUUCAUUAUAUGCGGUUUUGGUUCUAGAUAGGUAUUCGAAUUGUCUGUACUGUCAUCUGCUAAGAUUAGUACGAAGCCUCGGUCAUAGCCCAUCAUAGACUCACGAGUUCAAUUCGAGGGAUUACAUUUACUUAUGCCUAUGCGGAGGGACAAGUUAACUCACAAAAGCAUAAGUCAUAUGUAACCCGAAAGUAUUCACUAGCCUGUGCGGAGGGAUGAGUUAACUCACGAAGGCGUAACGUUUACUUUCACUUAAACGGACGGGGCCAGGGUUGAGAGCUCAUGUUAUACGAAAUGCAAGUGCACGAUGCGUAGGGAGAAACUUGCAAACCUUUCAUUUAUUUUAAAACUACAAAACUAAAACCGUAAAACUUAAAGCUGAAAAACAAAAGAUAAAACAAAUUAGGAGAUAUGUAUGUAUGAUUUUUUUCGAAAACAAAGCUUAAGGAUCAUGAUUAAAUAUUAAUUUGAACACGGAAAUUUGAAAAUUUUGACAACACGCGUUUAAUUCAACUCGACUCUCAAAAAUGGAAGUCCCUAGUGGAGUCGCCAGCUGUAGCGACGUAAAAAUGUUUAGCUUUGGUCGCUAAUUGUGGCGAUUUAUUGAAAACUUGAAAACUGAAGUUUGAUUUUAAAAUAAAGAGGGAGUCGCCACCGAUCCUUUUUCCUAGGUGUGAUCGGACACCUAUUAGAUUUUUUUUAAAAACAAAAGGAAGGCCGAGUUUAGGUCUACGUCAAAAGUCUAGAGAAAAAUAAGGUUCGGGAGUCGGUUACGCGCGGGGAAGGUAUUAGCACCCUCGCGACGCGCAAAAUUGGUAUCUUAUAAACACGUGCUGUCUUGAUUUUUAAAAAUGCGAGUUCAAUGUAAUAUUUAGUCGUGAUCCGAUUGAAAAGACGAAAAAUUUUAGUUUUUAUUUUUUUUGGUUUUUUAGAAGGGUGUUCCGUCUUUAGCACGAGCCGACAAAUUCCACCCAACAUAGCAAUGAAAUCUACGACUUAAUGUUAAAUCGGCGCAUUGCUUUAUUUAUUGAAAUUAAUUAAAACAUAAGAAAAAAAUAUUUCUAAAGUGAGAAUUUAAAAAUAGAUAAACGACGCAAACAAUGAUAUCAUUAAUGAAAAAUUUUAACAUGGAAUACUAGAAAUUAUUAUAACAAUAAUAAUGAUAUUUGCAAAAAAAGAAAAUAAAAACAAAUCAUGUACUAAUAAUAAGAAAAAAAUGAUAUAUUUGGUAAUAAUAAUAUAAAAUAAUAUGUACAUAAAAGAUACUUCAUAUAUAUGCAUAUAAUAAGAGUAUAUAAUAAUAAUAAUAAUAUCUACAAUAAAAGAAAAUAUUAGGAAAUGUACAAAAAAAAUAUAUAAAAUAUUUACAAUAAUGAUGUAAAUAAACAACAAAUAAAAUAUUUGAAAUAACAUAUAAAUGAAACAUUUUUAAAAAAAAGGUUAAUAAAUAAAUUAAAUAGAUUUAGGACAUGGCUAAAAACAAAUUAAAAUUCGGGAUAUAAAAGUAUAAAUAUUGGAUAGUUAAUUAGGGAUCAAAACGAAAACCAAAUAAGAUCUGAGGGUCAAAUUUUAAAAAAAAAACAAAAGAAGAUAGAAAAUGGGGGUUAAUUGAAUGAGGUUGCGAGAGAGGAGGACUAAACGCAUAAAUUUCCCUUUUAGGGAAAGUGCACAGACCCCACCCACCAAACAAAAUAGUGCCGUUUCAACACCAUUAUUUAAAAACAAAGAUUUUUUUUUGUGUUUCACUUUCAACCACCAAUCUUAAAAAAACAAAAAAACUUCCAUGCUCUCUUCCCCUCCCCCUUUUUCUUUCUGUCGAUUGGGUUCAUUAGAGACCCGCCCUACCGCCAACGACGACGGUGGUGACCGCUGUGUACAGCGAAGGAGUGCAACCUAGGUACGCCUACUUUAAAAUUUUUUUAUGUUUCUUUGUUAAAAAAGGUUUUCUUGAAAAAAGAAAAGGAAAAAAAAACAAUGAAUAAAUAUGAAAAAAACAAGGUAAGCAGAGAACAAAAAGAAGAAAAAAGGAAAAAAAAGAACAAAACUAAACCUCUUGAACCUUCCUUCUCUUUUUUUGUUUUCGUAUCCGUUUUUAUUUCCAAUAUCUGUGUUACAAUCUUUCUUUUAAAAAUAAAAAAUAAACCCCUCCUUUUACAACAUUUUUGAAUGGCUUUUUAUAGCCAUCUUUUACAAGUUUUUUAUUACUUUUGCCAUAUUUUCCCGUUUAGCUUGUUUGCUCUGUUUUUGCAGGGUAUGGGGGUGACUGGUGGAGCAGGUGAUGGUGGCUGGUGUCAGAGGAAAGUGGGGAGGUGGCUAGGGUUUUUUUCUUUACUGGAAAAUGUUUAGUAGGUUAGUUUAGGUGGGCUGUUGGUUUAGAUUGGGUUUGAUGAUGUUGGGCUGAUGAAAUUGGGGUGGGUAUUUGGUUGUAUUUGGGCCAAAAUUGGCCUACAACAGCGACUGAGUAAAACACGAGAAAUUUCAAGCUUCGUUUUCUUUUGAGAAAGAUAUACCGUUUUAACACGAGUCGAUUGAUAUUCACCCAACAUAGCGAUGAAAUCGAUGACAUAGUGUUUAAAUCGGUACGUUGCCUUGCUUAUUGAAAUAAAACACGAAUAGAUAUGUUCGAAACAAUGUAAAGCAAAUUAAUAAAUAAAAAUAAAUAAAAUACAAAUUUAGAGGUACAUUGAAGCGAAUAUAAAUGUGACAAUAAUAUUAUAAACAAUAAAGACAUAUAUGAUACUAGAAUUAAAUAUGAAAUGGAAAUAAUGAAUGUAGAUACAUGAUAUUAAGAGUAUGUAUGUAAACUAUACAUGAUUUUUGAUAGUAAAAAUAUAACUAAUAAUGUUAAAAUAUAUACAUGAUAUAUACCUAUAUACAUAUGAAAAAUGUGUGCACAUGACGUAUAUGAAAGAUAUAUACACAAUAUGGUAUUAAGAAUAUAUAUAUAUAUACAAUAUAGUAUUUAAAAUAUAUACAUAAGAUGGUAUAGAAAUAUGUACUUGGAAAUGUAUAAGAACUAUAUAUAACUAGUAAUAUUAAAAAUAUAUAUAACAUAUAUGGAACAUAUACAAUACAUACGUACCUUAGAAAUGAUAAUAAUAAUAGGAAAACUAUUUUGUACACUAUACACAUAUAUAUAAAUAAUAGUAUUAGCAAUAUACAAUAUAAUAUAGAAAUAUACAUAUAAUAGUAUAAGAAAUAUAUAACUAAUAAUAUUAAAAUACAUAUAAUAAUAUAUAUAUAAUAUAAUACUAAAAAUUUAUUUACAUAACAUACAUGAAAACAUAUAUAAUAUAAUAUUAAAACAUUUACAUAAUAUAUACACAUAUGAUUUCAAGGUUAAAUACAUAUUAAAAUAAUAAUAAUAUUACAUAAAAAUACACUUAUAUAUAUAUAUAUUAAAGUUAUGUACAUAUAUAGUAAAAUACAUGAACAAUACAACAUUCAACAUAUACACAAUAUAUAAUAAAAUGAUAAUAUACAUAAUAUAUAAAUUACAUAUAUAACAAAACAUGUAAUAUGGUAAUAAUAAUAAUAAUAAUAAGGAUAAUAUUGAAAUAUAAAAGAAACAAAUAUAACAUUAAUAAAAUAUUAAAAUAAAGUGAAAUAAAAACAUUGAAUAUGAAUAUAUAUAUACACGUGUAAAGCAAGAAUAUAUACUAAUACAUAAUAAUAAUAAUAAUAAUAAUAAUAAUAAUAACAAUACUAAUAAUACUAAUAAUUCAAAAAUAACAAUAAUACACGGUGGCCGGAGGAGGUAAAAAUUUCUAAAUUUUUUCUUUUAUUUUUUGUUAUUUGUUUAUUUUAUUAGUUUAUUAGAUUUUUAUGUGUAUGGGUGAUAAAAUUAAUUUUAAAACGAAAUAGAAAUGAAAAAGAAAUAACCUUUAGUUUUUAACUUCUGAUUCUCCGAUCUUUGUUAUUUUCUUACUUAGUCUGAUGCUAUUCUCGUAUAUGGAUAUAGGCAGGAUCCAUGGUUCAAUAUUUCUUUUUCUGUUUUUUCUUAUUGCCCGUCUAAAAAACUUACAACGGUUAUUACAUGGCUUUAUAGCCGAAUGUUCCAAAGAAGAGUACAAAAAUAUUGUUUCUUCUAUUGGCUACUGCUCUGUUGCUGCUGUUGUUUUGUUUCCUUCUUGCAGGUACAGAGUCUGUUGGCAUGCGUACGGGGUGUGGGCGUGGUGUACGAGGACUGUGGAGGUAUGGGACUGUUGUAGUAGGGGUAUGGGGCCGCUGUAGUGGAGGUAUGGGGUUGCUUCAUGGUUGCGGCGCAGAACAAAAAGAGGGGGGGACCUAGGGUUGCUGAAAUAUUUUGUGUGUUGGGCUAGGUGGGCUUUUAGGGUUUUUGUAUUAUUUGGGUCAUUUAGUUUUAGGUUUGGGCCUUUCAAUGUUGAAAUUGGGCCUGUUUUGAUUUUUGGGCUAUUUAACAUUGUAAAAUGGAUUUGAAUUUUGGUUUUUGCUUAGGCCAAAAAUUGGCCAUUACAGCUGCCCCUCUUUGCUCAUUGUCGUGUAACGAGAAUGGAGCAAAGACUCCAAAAUGGCCAAUUUUGCUUAGUCUCACUGAAUCUUAACUUCUUGGUACUUCUUUUCUUCUAAUAGCCUCGUUUCAUCCCACUGCAUCUUCAGAGGCAUAGGAAUUGUUGCUUUGGUUCACUCCAUCGCAACUUCGGGGAAACAAAAUCUGGUGCCUUCAAUCAGCUCCAGUCUUUAUUCUUUACUCGGUGUGUGAUCCUGAGCUCAACUCAUUUCUCGCAAUAUGAAUUGAUCUUUGAAAAAUAUAAAUUGAAAAAACAUAAAUUGAAAAUACCUCAGCAUGUGAGCCGAGGCUCAACUCACCUCUCUCAAUAUGAGUUUUUUUUUAUAACUGCGGAAAUUGAAAAACAGAAAUUGAAAAUACCUCAGCGUGCCCUGAGGCUCAACUCACUUCUCGCAAUAUGAGCUGAUUUUUGAAAAACAUAAAUUGGAGAAAACAGAAAUUGAAAUUACCUCAGCAUGUCCUGAGGCUCAACUCACCUCUCGCAGUAUGAGUUGAUUUUUGAAAAACAGAAAUUAAAAAUAGAAAUUGAAAAGACCUCAGCAUGUGAGCCGAGGCUCAUCUCACCUCUCGCGAUAUGAGUUGAUUUUUUGACAAACAGAAAUUGAAAUUACCUUAGCGUGUCUUGAGGCUCAACUCACCUCUCGCAAUAUGAGUUGAUUUUCGAAAACGGAGAUCAAAAUUACCUCAGCGUGUCCUGAGGCUCAACUCACCUCUCGCAAUAUGAGUUGAUUAUUUUGAAAGACAAAAAUUGGAAAGCAGAAAUCGAAAAUACCUCAGCGUGCCCUGAGGCUCAACUCACCUCUCGCAAUAUGAGUUGAUUUUUUUGACCAGCAUAAAUUGAAAUUACCUCAGCGUGUCCUGAGGUUCAACUCACCUCUCGCAAUAUGAGUUGAUUUUUUUUGAAGAGCAAAAAUUGGAAAGAAUAAAACGAAAAUACUUCAGUGUGCCCUGUGCCCUGAGGCUCAACUCACCUCUCGUAAUAUGAGUUGAUUUUUUUGACCAGCAUAAAUUGAAAUUACCUCAGCGUGUCCUGAGGCUCAACUCACCUCUCGCAAUAUGAGUUGAUUUUUUUGAAGAGCAGAAAUUGGAAAGCAAAAAUCGAAAAUACCUCAGUGUGCCCUGAGGCUCAACUCACCUCUCGCAAUAUGAGUUGAUUUUUUUGACAAACAUAAAUUGAAAUUACCUCAGCGUGUCCUGAGGCUCAACUCACCUCUCGCAAUAUGAGUUGAUUUUUUUGAAAAGCAGAAAUUGAAAAGCAGAAAUUGAAAAUACCUCAGCGUGCCCUGAGGCUCAACUCACCUCUCACAAUAUGAGCUGAUUUUUUGAAAAAUAUAAAUUGAAGAAAACAGAAAUUGAAAUUACCUCAGCAUGUCUUGAGGCUCAACUCACCCCUCGCAAUAUGAGUUGAUUUUUGAAAAACAGAAAUAAAACAUCAGAAUACCAAAACAUGUCAUCUGGUGGAAUCAUGUGUCUUUUCAACUAUCAUCACAUCCUCUUGCUCUACUGGAGUAUAUGUCAUGCAUGAUGUUAUCAUGAUAUGCACAUGUUUGUCUUAAAUGCAUUUAUGCCUACAUUAUUAUGAGCUUUAGGCAUGUUUGUCAUAUAUCCCUUUUUCGUCACGAUUUUUUUUUGAUGAUCUGUGUUCAUUGCUUUGACUCUUGACUUUCUCUUCAGGCUCUAUACCCGCCCUCAAGCUUCAUGAAUAAUCUGUAUUUCCUAGAUAUCACUCUUUUGCCCCUGGUUGAGCUUUGUCCUUGCGUUGAGGCUCUUGUACUUAUCAAAUUCUUACCCGGGUAAUGCUUAAAAUUUCUUUUGUUUAGAGUAUGUCAUUUCACUAUUUAUCAUGUAAAUGAACCACAUAAUGAGAUGCAUGAAAAUGGUCAGGUAGGGACAAAAAGAUACCUCGCAUUUAUUCAUUUCAAAUGUAGUAAACAAUGAAAGUUAACCAAUAAUAGUAAAAAAGUGUCAUAAAGAGAAAAGGGAUUGCAUUCAAUGAAUACAAAUGCUCUAGAUAUUCAAUGCAUGAACUUUUCCACAUUUCUCAAUCAAGAAUCUUUUCGAGCAUGGCUUCUUGCGUAGAAGAUUUCGAGCUUUCAGAAAUGCUUCAAAUACUGUAGUCUCAUUAUUUGACCCACCGUUCAAAAUGCCUUGUUCUUUAAGCUCGGGUUUGCUUCAUUAGAAUGCCCUUUCGAGUUUUCAUCCUAAUCUUUUGUGUUUAAUCAAGACGCCCUUUUCGGGUUUUCACCUUGAUCCCUUUUAUCUCUUUUUUUUUUUAAGAUGCCAUUUUCGGGUUUUCAUCUUGGUUUCCUUUUUCAAGCAUAAUAUUUCUUUACAGCAUCUGAGUUCACUAGACUCGGUAACUCCUUCCCAUCCAUCUCGGUGAGAAUCAAAGCUCCACCCGAGAAUGCCUUCUUUACGACGUAUGGUCCUUCCCAAUUCGGUGCCCAUUUUCCUCGCAGGUCUCUUUGUAUUGGGAGAAUCUUUCUCAGCACGAGUUCUCCUUCUUGAAAUUCUCUUGGCCGUAUUUUCUUGUCAUGAGCCACGAUCAUUCUCUUCUGGUACAUUUGUCCAUGACAAAUUGCCUUUAGACGUUUUUCUUCGAUGAAGUUUAACUGGUCAUAUCGAGCUCGAACCCAUUCAGCUUCCUCUAAUUUCGACUCCAUUAAGACUCGUAGAGAGGGGAUCUCAACUUCGAUAGGUAGCACAGCUUCCAUUCCAUAGACCAGAGAGAAAGGAGUUGCCCCCGUAGAUGUCCGUACAGAUGUGCGAUAUGCAUACAAAGCAAACGGUAGCUUCUCGUGCCAGUCUUUAUAUGUCUCAGUCAUUUUCCCAAUAAUCUUCUUAAUAUUCUUGUUGGCCGCUUCAACCGCUCCAUUCAUCUUUGGGCGAUAGGGCGAGGAGUUAUGAUACUUUAUUUGGAAUUGCUCACACACUUCUUUCAUCAUCUUGUUGUUCAAAUUCAAGGUGUUAUCUGAAAUGAUUCUUUCAGGCAAACCAUAUCGACAAAUGAUUUCCUUUUUCAAAAACCUGCAAACCGCAGUCUUCGUCACGUUGGCAAACGAAGCGGCUUCUAUCCAUUUUGUGAAGUAAUCAAUAACCACAAAAAUGAACCGGUAUCCGUUAGAAGCUUUUGGAUAGAUAGGCCCUAUAACGUCCAUGCCCCACAUAGAAAACAGCCACGGAGAAGUCAUGACAUGAAGGGGCGAAUGAGCUACAUGAAUUUUAUCACCAUAAAUUUGACAUUUGUGACAUUUCCGUGUGAAACUAAUGCAGUCACUUUCCAUCGUCAGCCAGUAAUAACCGAGUCUCAUAAUCUUCCUGGCCAUAAUGAAACCAUUAGCUUGUGUUCCACAAAUUCCUUCAUGGACAUCUUCAAGUAUUUUUCUGGCUUCAACUGUAUCCACGCAUCUCAAGAGCACCUAAUCUUUUCCUCUUUUGUAUAGGAUGUCCCCAUCAAGAAUAAAUUCCGCUGCCAUUCUUCUGAUUGUUCUUCUGUCGUUCACAUUUGCUUGCUCGGGAUGUCCCCAAAUGCGCAAAUUACCCUUCCGCUCAAAAACACGCGGAUCCUAACCUGGAGCGGGUCGGGUCAACCCGACCCGGGGCUAAAACGACGUCGUUUUUGGUUUAAUGGGGGGACCAAAACGGUGCGUUUUGGUCCCCUAUAAAAGAUAAGUUUUUUUGAAAAAAAAAUCAUUUUGCAACAGCAGAAGAAAAAAAGAAAAAAAGAAAAGGGAGAAAAGAGAGAGGGGAGAAGGGAGAGAGGGGUUCCGGCGUAGGGGGUACCGGUCCGGUCGCUGGACCAUCGUGCGUCUCCGGCGCCCGCCACCGUACACGGUGGCCGGAGGAGGUAAAAAUUUCUAAAUUUUUUCUUUUAUUUUUUGUUAUUUGUUUAUUUUAUUAGUUUAUUAGAUUUUUAUGUGUAUGGGUGAUAAAAUUAAUUUUAAAACAAAAUAGAAAUGAAAAAGAAAUAACCUUUAGUUUUUAACUUCUGAUUCUCCAAUCUUUGCUAUUUUCUUGCUUAGUCUGAUGCUGUUCUCGUAUAUGGAUAUAGGCAGGAUCCAGGGUUCAAUAUUUCUUUUUCUGUUUUUUCUUAUUGCCUGUCUAAAAAAACUUACAACGGUUAUUACAUGGCUUUAUAGCCGAAUGUUCCAAAGAAGAGUACAAAAAUAUUGUUUCUUCUAUUGGCUACUGCUCUGUUGCUGCUGUUGUUUUGUUUCCUUCUUGCAGGUAUAGAGUCUGUUGGCAUGCGUACAGGGUGGGCGUGGCGUACGAGGACUGUGGAGGUAUGGGACUGUUGUAGUGGGGGUAUGGGGCCGCUGUAGUGGAGGUAUGGGGUUGCUUCAUGGUUGCGGCGCAGAACAAAAAGAGGGGGGACCUAGGGUUGCUAAAAUAUUUUGUGUGUUGGGCUAGGUGGGCUUUUAGGGUUUUUGUAUUAUUUGGGUCAUUUAGUUUUAGGUUUGGGCCUUUCAAUAUGGAAAUUGGGCCUGUUUUGAUUUUUGGGCUAUUUAACAUUGUAAAAUGGACUUGAAUUUUGGUUUUUGCUUAGGCCAAAAAUUGGCCAUUACACUUACCAAAUUUUGGGUGGACCUGCAAACUUGGAUGAGUAGUUCGACCCAUGAAAAAGUCUAGGUUAAAGUGAUUAUAUGAAUUUUUUUUUAAAAAAAAGAACAAGCUUAAAGAUUCAUCAGACAUGUAAAUUUAUUAGUGGUUAAGUACAAAUAAUAUAUAUAAAUCACAACAAUUAACAUUGUUAUCAAUUUGAUCAAAAUUAAAUCAGACAAGUUAAAUCCUAAAUUUCAGCUAGAGAUGUUCGUGAGUUGGAUUCAGAUCAAGUUUAAGGAUGAUAUUAAUAUAUUUUAUACUUACCCAAGCCUGACUCGGCCUGAAAUAUAGGCCUAAAAUUUCGCUCAAGCCCACUUAUAUUUGUAAAAGACUAACCCAAACCCAUUUUAGACUCACCCAUAUUAUUUUUUAAAAAAAUUGCAUUAUUUUAAUUUAAUAUUUAAUAAUGUUAAAUAUUUUUUAUUUAUUGAAUAUUUUUAUAUAGCAAUCUUAACAUUAUUUUAAUGUUUAUAUUAGAGUAGUAUUAUAUUUUUAGUAUAGAUUUAUUUUUUAUGUAUUAUAAAUUACAUAAUAUAUAAAAAUAACAUAAUAUUAAGUUUUAAAGACUUAAAAAUGGGUCAGCUCGGGUUGAGCUCGAGCCUUGAAUGUUCAAGCCCAAGUCCGACCCAUAAUUUAAACAGGCCUAAUAUUUUUGUCUAAACCUAUUUUCGAGCCUAACAUUUUUACCUAAAUCCUCCCAAACAAAUUUAAUCUCAACAUAAUUGAAAAAGUAAGACAAUAAUUAAAUCCAUUUCUACUUGUGCAUGGUUUCAAUUAAGACAAAGAUAAGUAGGCAUCAGUAGCUAGCUACUAUAUAAUAUGUGUUUUAUAUCCUUUAAUAAUAUAAUUUGUCCCUUGUAUCUAUCAAAACAAGUGAUCUCCACAUAAAUUCUUAGUCUAAAGAGUACAUCAAAGAAUUUGAUCUAGAAAUAUCACUAGUUUUAUUGUAUAUCUAUUGCUUUGCAUACUUAUGUAUCUAUUGUUUAUCUCCAUAUGGUAGAGCUACCAUUGUCUUUUUAUUGAGAAUCAAAUCGCGUUUAACCCCUUUCACUUUAAAAUUUGAUAAAUUUAUCCUUAAGUUAAAAAGUAAAGUAGCUCUUUUGUUAAAAAUAUAUAGAAUUUUUAACAAAUAGUGAGAUGGAUGGAAUGGAUGAAAAUUUUUAACGAACUAAUUUGUCCCUUGCACCCCAUGCUGAUGUAAAGAGACUAAUUCAAGCAACCAAACAAUGACACAUCAUCACUCAACAAUAGAAAUGGAUGGAGGCCCAAUAUGUUACAUGCCAUGCCUAAAUAUAUAAAUGAGGCCCAUUAUAUGCCAGACCAAUUAAAUAUAUUUCCACUAUAUAGAACUUUUGAAUCAAGUUAAUUAAAUGCGAUGAAAUAAAUUAAAACAAUACAUUCAUAAAAAAAAGUAAAUGUAAUUUAAAAUUUUUAUAAAUCCUUUAUUUCUUAAAAAAAAUGUAGUACUUUAAUACUGUCUCACUAAAAACAACUUUCAAAAAAUAUAUAUAUUUGGAAAAUAGUUUGAUUUUCUUAGAAAAAUUGAUAUUUUCUGGUGUUUGGAUGAUUCUGUAUAAAAUAUUUUCAGUUAUUUGAAAAAUUAAAAUAUUUUCCGUUGUUUGAAAAAUUUUCCUAAGACCAUUUGCCAAAAAUUGUUCUAAGUAAACAAACACAACAUAAAUAUAUUUGUUACAAAAUAUUGUAGUAUCAUUUUCUUUUGACAAUCGGAAUUUAUUUUAUAAUAAUUAAUAUCAUAUAUAAACUUAAAUACACAACGGCUAAUUAAAACUUAAUUUAAAUUACAUAUAUUAAAUAUAUGAGAGUGGAUAGUGAUACACUAGAGCUGGAAGGAUAAAUGAAGCUAAGCGUGGUUUAAACAAAUAUGAAUAUAAAUAUUAAAUAACUUAUUAAAAUAAUAAAUCAAUUUUUUUUUUUUUUGCUCAUUGCUGCUUUUACAACUUGUAAAAGCAAAUAGGGAUAAUACAAACAAGACCAACGAAUCCUACUUAUUGAGACCACUCAUCAACAAUACAAACCUGACAUUCCGAAGACCAAAGUUAUUCAAACAACACAGCAGAAAUGACCACCCAAAAAGUACUACAAGACAUACUCAAAACCACAGAACAUACACAUGAAAUCUGACAUUACAAAUCAACUCACCACCAAGCCUUAAACAUACUAGUUCUAUUCGUCCCUGCAAUAGCUAGAGAAUCUGCCAUUUCAUUUCCAUUCGCCUUAGCAACUGAAAAAGAUAACUCUCCCACCCUGCUCCACCUCCUUUCCAAAUCAGCAAAUAUAACUUGAUGUGACCAAUGUUUCCUUGUUUUCUCCAGAAUCCAACUAAAAACCUCCAUUGAACCUAUUUCAAUAAUCAAAGAAACAGUCCCCUUCCAGCCGAUUUCAAUAAAAAUAUCAAGAGCACUGAUUAUAGCUCCCAAUUCAGUUGACUCUUAAUCACCUGUAUCAAUUGGUCCUGAAAAUAAGGCUCUAACAAUUCCAUCCUCAUCUCUCAACACUCCUCCACCACCUCGAGCACCCUCAAAAACAAUACCGUUAACGUUAAAUUUAAGCCAACCAUGAGGUGAAAAACACCAACCCCUAUAAUCAGACUUAGAUAAACAACACUUAUAUGGACAAAACCACCAUAAUCUCUCAUGAAACCUGCACUCAUUAAAAACAGCCCUGCUCCAUAAUAAAGGCCUCAUCUUUGCAUGGAAGACCAAGGUAUCCAUUGUCAACACUUUAUUAUCAAACACCAUUUCAUUUCUCGCAAGCUAAAUUGACCAAACAGCAACCGCAAUUGCAAUCAACCAUAGACUUUUACAAGAUCCUAAAAUUUUCACUUUGAAAUAGAAUGAAUAAAAAUCUUCAAAAUUACUCACCCCUUUCCAUCCGAUGUCCCACCAAUUUAAGAUCCUCUUCCAAAAUCCAUUAAUAAAGAUGCAGUUAAAAAACAAAUGGUCCGUCUUCUCCCGCUCCCUGUUACACCAAGGACAUACAUUAACAGUAUCAAGAAUUUUCACCCCUUUCCUAAUUAAAAAAUAAAUUCAACCCCCACCCCAUCCACCAUUAAUUUAGUCAACUGCUUCACAGAGAACUCACCAUUUUUAUCGUGCAUCCAUAAUAUCCGAUCCUCCACCUCCGGGAUCAAUACCACACCACCCACCCAAUCCAAGAGAUGACUUAGCAUCCCCCAUUCCCUAUCUAAAAAAGCUCUGACGAAAAAACCUUCCUAAUUAACAUUACAAAAACCACCAUCCAAAGAGUAAUAAAAAACCAAACCAUUUUUGAAUUUAGCUAGACGAAAAAGUCCAGGGAAUUCAAAUUUUAAUGGACUAUUACCACACCAAUGAUCCCCCCAGAACAACGUAUCCCUUCCAUUCCCUACUUUCUAUUUGAAAUCUUUAUCUCCCAUCCAUCUAUUCACUCUAGCAUCAAAAGAGUUGUCCACAAUCCCUCUCCAAACCGUCGACAUAUCUUUCAAAUUGUUCGCACCAAAUCGCCAUUGUUUAGCGUUAGAACCAUACUUAGCUAAAAUCACCUUGCUCCAUAGCGCAUUUUUAUCCACCAUCACUCGCCAUCUUCAUUUUGCUAAUAGAGCUUUGUUCUUAAUCUCAAGGUUAACCACUUCGGAUCCUCCAUUUUCUUUUGGUCUACAAAUCUGCUUCCAAUUGACUUUCGCCAUUUUCUGUUUGCCAUCCAACCCUCCCCACAAAAAUUUCUCCUAAUUUUAUCAAUUCUUUUAAUUACAGUCAUCGGGGCCUGAAAUAAAGACAUAAAAUAGAUUGGAAGAGACGAUAAUACUGCGUUAACCAACACUAUCCUAGCUGCCCAUGACAUACUUCUACCUUUCCAUCCCGCCAAUUUCUUUCUAAAUUUCUCAACCACCACGUCCCAAGUAGCUACCCUUCUCGAAUCUGCUCCUAAAGGAAUACCCAAAUAGCAAAUAGGCAACACCCCAACCUUACAUUUACAUAUAGCUGCCAAACGGUAAAGAAAUUCCUCAUUAACUCCAGACCCCACAAUACACGAUUUUUUGAAGUUAAUACUCAACCCCGAAAAAGUCUCGAAGCAACGGAGAAUAAAUUUCAUAUUUUCCACUACCAUUUCCUCUGCCUUUAAAAACAAAAUCGUGUGGUCCGCAAACUGUAAGUGUGAAAUCGUUUAAUAAGUGAAGCACUUCCGUAACCAGAAUGAACAAGAAUGGAGAUAAAGGAUCUCCUUGGCGUAAUCCACGACCAAAUUUGUAGCUAACCCAUUAAUCAGGAUAGCUGCUCUCACCGUAGUAACAUUAAAAUAAUAAAUCAUAUUAAUUAUAUUAAUAAAUAUAAAUAAUUAAAUAUUUAUGUUUAAUAAUAUUGAAUAUUAUAAUAUUUGAUAUUAAAACUAUAUUUUUUAAAAAUAUUUUAAAAUUAAAAUUAAAAUUUAUUAUUAAUAUAAUAAUUUUAGGUUUGGUUCAAGUUAAUUUUUAUAUAAAAACAAAAUCACAUAUAAACGAGCUUAUUUUCAAAAAAUGACUUAUACUUUUAAAAAAGAUAUGUCAAUUUAUAAGAAAAGAAACUUAUUUUCCAUUGACUUAUAAAUAAUUUUCCGUUGAUCAAGCUAUUUUUCAUAAAACAAAUAUAAAAAAAUACAAAAUAAAUUUUUUUGUAAAUAAUUUUUUAUGAAACCAACACAACCUACAUUUACCAAUUAUCAUAUAUAUAACUUCUUUUAACAUUCAUUAUUUAAAAAAAAAACGGCAGUUAUAAAUAAUUAUUUCAUCCACAUGUUGCAAUUUUUAGUAUAUAGAUAUAUAAGGCGUAACUAGGAGGUAGGCAGGAACUUUAGCCCCUUAAUAAAAUAGUAUAAUAUUCUUUUUCAGUCCCUUUUAAAAAUAAUAAUUCACUUUAAUUCAUUUCAACCCUAUAAUUAAAUAAAAAUUACAUUUUGAGCCCUUAUAAAAAGUAAUAAUUUAAUUUAAUAUAUUUUCAUAUUAAUUCUCGGAUCAAUUGAUUUUUUUUUUGCCUCGAAUCAAUGUAUCGAUCAAUUGAUCCAUCCAGUUUUGGUAAUUUUUGACAAGGUCAAAGUCGAAUUUAGGUUUGAAAUUUUUUUGAAUCCAACUUUGGCACAUGAAUAAAGUUAAUUUACAUACAUAUGUGAACUAUUUAGCCCUUUCAAAUUUUUAAAAAAAUAAUUUUUUACUUAAAAAAUGUAUUUCCCUUUCAAAACCAAUAUUAGUUUUUAUAAAAUAAUAUUUUUAAAAAAUAUUUUUCACCAACAAAGUGGUUGAGAGAAUUCUAGUAUUUUUUGUGUUUUUGGGCUUUACAAGGUUAAAUUGUCCCUAUUUGGUUACAUUGGACCAAGCAACUCAGCCAAGUUUUGAUCUUAAGGCCCAUAAUCAACACAAUGGGCUCCAAUAUUGAGAGAUGAUUGGAGAAUCAAUUAGACCUUGCCAUAACUAAAACACAAUACAAUAUAAAAAUUCACCUAGGAAAGAAUCUACCUAGACUGUAUCUAUCAUUAUUAAUAUAAAUUAAAUAAUUUAUUCACUUAAUAUCUUGAUCCGUAGAAAUUUCUAAAUUAUUAAUAUAAUACUAUUUUAAAUAUGAUUAUAACAUAUAGAAAUCAUAUGGACACAAUAUGAAUACUAGCUUAUCUUGACUUGUUACCAGGGACAAAUUCAAGAAAUGUUGACAUAAGCAUUAGCUCCCUUGUUCCUUCAAAUACUACUUCAAUAAGUUAAAUUCUGUUAUUAGUCCACGUAAUUUGCAAAAGUUGUAGAUUUAAUUCUUAUAGUUUGGCUAAUUUUAGUUUUUGUACUUUUGAACUGGUUAAUUUUAAUCUCUGUACUUAUCGAAUUUUGAAUUUUUUAUCUUAACUAGAGCAGUAGUAGUUAAAUUCAUUUGAUUAAAUUCAAUUAUCGGUCAUGUACUAUGCUAAUAGUUAUAGAUUUGGUCUAUAUUCUCCAAUUGGAUCAUUUUAAGUCCCUAUACUUUUCGAAUUUUAAAAUUCUAGUCUUUAUGCAAAUGAUAGUUGUUAAUUCAUUAACUAGAUUUUUAGUUAGUAUAUGUGAAAAUAACAAGCUGGCAUGGCAUUAUACAUAUGAUUAUAUGUUCAGCGUAUUUGAUUUUGGAAAUAAUAGAACUUAAUGAAUUUAACUGUUGUUGUUUGGUAAGGACUGUGAUUUGUAAGUUUGAAAGUAUAGGGACUAAAAAUGACCAAAUUAAAGUCCAGAGAUUAAAUCCAUAACUUUUGCAAAGUACAAAGACUAAUAUCAAGUUUUAACUAAUUAAAUAUUUGUUAAAACAUUGAUAAAAUUACAUUUUGUUGUUCCGAAAAUUUUAUGAUUUAAUUUUGACCUCCCAACACAAAAUUAUGGUAAAAGUACCAUGAAAGCCCUAUACUAAGAGUCAAAUUGCAUUGUCUCAUAUACUCAAAAAUGGGCAGAUUAGUCCCUAUAGGUUAGAUUAAAGAGUAAUUGGUCCCUUCUAUUCAAAAUUUUAUCUAUUUUUACUGUUAAAAACUGGUAUAACUGACAAAAUAAUUAGAUAAUUAUACAUUAUAUGCCACAUGUAACUCAUGCUGACAUAUAAGAACUAAUUUUUAACAUUGAAAAUGGAUAAAAUUUUUAAAAGAACUAAUUUACUCUUUAAUCUAAUAUAUAUAUAUAUAUAUAUAUAUAUAUCUUCUACUAUACUUUUACCAAACUUUUUGGUCCCUACCUACUCUUAGGCACCAUGUAGCCCAGCUUUCAUUUGCGUCUAUGCUUUCCGCUCCUCAAAAGGAGGCCUCUUAUUUGGACUGUUUUGGCUCCAUUAACUAUGAUUUGCUUUAUAAUCUAUUUACCCUAUUAUUAUAUUCUCUUAAUUAAAAUAUUAUAUUAUAAUCUUUCUUGUUUAGACUUUUGGUUGUCAUUGUUUGAUUAAAAUAUUGAUGAAUGGGUUCCUGUUCCAUUCAUUAAAAGUCUUAAUUUAUCUCUUGGAAGAAACCCCAACUAAUAACAUAAAAGCUUUGAAAGGGUUCUUCCACAUUGAAACAAUUAAAAAUAAAUAAAAGCUAGACAAAAUUGGGGUGUCUUCAUUAUAAGUGGCACAAUAUUCGUCCUUUGAUUAUUCCUUUUUGAAGCUAAGGACAUGUUUUAUUGAGAUUAGUGAUGGCUUUAAUUAUUAAUUUCUUUUUUAUGUUUACAAUGCUUUUCUUUAUCUUUACUUUUCAUGCCGAUAUUGAACCAUUACUUUCCAAUAUUUAGUGAAGAAAUGUUCUUCAAAACUUAAUCAAGAUCAACUCAAUUUUUUAUAAAGGUUUUAACCUCAUGGAUUGAGAAAAACUUGUUUUAUUUAGAGAAUCAAUUUAAUUUUACUUUAAAUUUAAUUGGGACAUGAAUACCAAAGAGUCUUAGACAACCAAAGAAAAAUAAAUAAAUUUAGAUUAAGAUGGAAGAAGAUAACAUGGCAAAUUUUAGUUUAUUGUGUGAAUUUAGUGAUCGAAAUUGUACUCAAAUUGAAUUUUAAAUUUAGCCAAAUCAUUCGGAUUCCAUUAACCUAGAUAGGUUCAUAAUUUUUUUAAAAAUAAUAUUUUUAAAUUAUUUUUAUUACUUUAAAUAUGUCAUGAUUAUUUUUUAUUCUAUAAAACUUAAAAUUAAUUAUAAAUAAAAUAAAAAUGAAAUUUGGGUUUAUACAAAUAAUAACAUAUAAAUUAAAAUUAAAAUCAAAUCAAAUAUAUUUAUAUACUAAUCAAUUCGAAAUUGAAUUAAAUUUAAACUAAACCAAAGGUUUUAAUUUAAAAUGAUGUUCUCAAUUUCUUUAUUCAACCAUUGAUUUAAUAAUAUUAUAAAUAAUAUUAUACAACUUCUUGUAUAAUUGUAAUUAAAAAAACUAAAUAAAUAGUAAAUUUGAAAAUUAGAAUGUUAAUAUUGUUCCAAAUGUUAGAAUUGAACCAAUCAAUCAUAAAUAAAAAUAAAUUACAAUUAAAGUAAGAAAAAUAAGGUUAUUUUUUUUAAAGUUUUACUAGUACAAAUUUAGUAUAGUUACAAGGAUAAUACAAAUAUAAUUAUAUAUUUGUUCAAUUAUAAUAUAGAAUUUAAUUACUACAAUGCACAUCAAACAAAAAACUAAAUAAAAUUAGACUAAUCCGAAAAGAAUUAAAUAAAAUCUACACAUGACAUACGACAUCGGCAAUGGUGAAGGGAGGGAGUAAGCGUGGGUUAUGCCCCCUGCUCAAAUGGAAAAUUAUGCUUUUAGUUUUAAAAUUUUAUAAAUUUAUAAAUAAAUAAAUGAUAAAAUUGUAGUUUGACCCUCAUUAAUUUGUCCUUUUAAUAUAUGUCAAUACAGUUAUGAAAUUAUAUUUUAACUCUCACAUUAAUAUAUAACUUAACUUCGAUCUCUCUAAAAUUUAUGAGUUCACUCAAGUACGAAACUGGAGCCCAAAUACUCAUGAAUUUAAAACUUUUAUCUUAACCAACAAACCAAAAAUUAGGGUUAAUUAAGAGAAUAGAAACUAAAAAAGAAAAAAUCAUAACCACCCCCCCCAAAAAAAAAAAACUCAACUAAGACCGGCAACAAUGGAGUCACGUGGGACCGUGAAAGUAAGGAAUAGGCCACCGAAACGAAAACCCAAAAUGCACAUGGAAACGCAUUGAUGUUUGGGCCUCUUCUUCACUAACACGUGACAAGAGGGCCACGUGGCAAACUUUUAGUGAUGACCUUUUCUUUAAUGCUCCAAUUGUUCCUUCUCCUAAUUGCUAAUGGGAUUCUUCUUAAUUGGGUUUCCCAAUUUUCCUAGGUGAAUAUGUGAAGAUUUAAACAUUUGACAGGUUUUUAUGUGGGGUUAUGGUGAUGUAGGAUGGCUUACUUGGAAGGUGAGAGUUAUAAGUAAGUUAAAGAUGGUUAAAAUGUAGGUGUCAAGAGAAGAUUAGAGAUCGAAUUAGAGUAUGAAAGAAUUUAAAAUUUAGUAAUGAAAGGUGUUUUGGUCGGUCGAAAAAUGUUUAAGGACUUGUUUAUGAUGAUUUCUAAUGUGUUAUGUGUUAAUCUCAUAUUCAUCGAAGUUUUUAUUCAAUUAGGAGGGUUAGAUUAAUUUUAGAUAAUUAUUUUUGAGUUUAAAUCAUUUGAGUAUGAUGCUCAAAUUUUAGAGUAUGAUGAAUAAAAAAUCGAAUUAAUUUAGAUUCAGGUAAUUUCAAGUUUGAGUCAAUUUUAAUUUUGGAUCAAUUUUUGGAUAAAUUCAAAUUAUAAAUUUUUAUGAUUAAAUUGAAUCAAGUUUGAAUUCAAAUUGAUCGGAUCAAAAUUUAAAGUUUGGAUUAGAAUUCUAAUAUUGAUGUGAGAAUUUUUUGGAAUAAUUGAACAUUAUUGCUUAUUUUUUCGACAUAUUGUAUUCUUUAAAAAUCAAAGGUAAUAGCUGGGGUUGUUUAAUUUUGAACCAAACAAUAGGUGUAGGAAUUAGGAUUUAAGCAAUGCAAGUUAUGUAUCAUUACACUUAUGACUAAUUGACAUUUGUUGGAUUCUUAUUAUAGGACGAAGAAAAUAAUAAAGUGAAUUCAUGUCAAAUUGAAGAUAUCUUCUUUUUCAAGCAUUUCGAUUAAGUUCAAAAUUCGGAGACAGAGUAAAAGUAGUCCCAAAUAAAAAAAAAUGUUUAUAUAGUCAUUUUAAUAGUAUAUUGAUAAAAUUAUAUUUUGAUCCUUAUUUAAAAUCAUCAUUAUUAGGAAAGAAUUUAUUUCAACACAACCUUUGAACUAAACAAAAUUAAACUUAAACAGUAAAAGUACUACAGUAGGGAUAAGCAUAUCCUGCAUUUUGGGGCAUACAUGCAUUGAACCUAACAAUUACUUUUGAUUAAUAAUAAUAAUAACAAUAAAGCAGUUGCCUUGUGAAUAGAUAAACAAUAACAUCAUCAUGUGAAGGGCAAUGCCUGUUUUAAUAUAUACUCAUUUCCCUAUUCUAUCUCCCUUAACUGCAAACAUCAUUUGCUAUGUCUCAUAGUUAGGGCCCUUAUAAAGUUAUGUCCUCUUAACAUGCUGACAUGCAAUAUAUAUAUAAGAUUAGGGUUUUUUACCUUUAUUUUGGCUUUUUUCUUAUUUUUAAUUACAUGUUAUUAAGCAUGUGUUUAAGUUGUCAAAUUCAAUUAAAUCCAUAGCUAAUAAAAAAAUAUUGCCUUGAUUUCUUGACCAUAUAUUAAAAAAAAAAAAGAGAGAAGAAAGCUUAAUCAUAUACCAGCUUCAUUUCAUUGUACAAACUGAAAACCCAUGUUUUAAAUUAAAUGCAAGUUGUGAGAAAAAAUUAUAUAAAAAAAAAGAUAAUAAAACGACAAACAAAGUCUUAAUCAUCCACAUGGUUCCCUUCAUGAUCAUAGUGUUGCAUCCAUGAUUUUUCUUUUAAUUUGUUAAACACCAUGGAAUCUAUGCGUUAAUGGUUUUGUUUAUGCAAAUAGGUUCCUUUUUAUUUUUCAAGUAUAGGGGUUACGAUUAAAGGAAUAUUUUAAAGGAACUACUAUUGAUUGAUUCAACAAUAUAUAUGAUGUUUAACAAGUUAGCUUUUGUGUGGAUUUUCCAAAGAAAAAAGAAUGGUUUGGAUGCUAUUUGUGUUUCAAAGUAAUUCAUAGGAAAUGCAGUUUAUUUUUUAUUAUUUAUAAAUGUUGGGUGUACUGAUAAAGUUUAUUAUAUUAAAAAAUAAAUAUUUGAAUUUUAAAGACGAUAUUGUUAAGAAAAUUAGCCACAGACCCUAAAUAUGAAUCAUAAAACGAACAUGAAACAUAUAAAAAAAAAGUUUAGACUUUGCUAUUAGUUUCUAUGUUUUGAAAAAUUAGUUGUGGAUUUAGCCUCUAUAUUUUACUUUGAUCAAUUUUAAUCUCUAUACUUUUUGGAAUUUUGAAAUUUUAGUCAUGACCAAAACAAUAAGCUUUAAAUUUGUUUGGUUCAAUUCAAUUACUAGUCUUGUACUAUGCGCAUAAUUGUAGAUUUAAUUCAUAUUCUUCAAUUGAGUCAUUUUAAGUUCUUAUGCUUUUAAAAUUUUAAAAUUUCAAUCUUGAGACAAAAUAACAUUUAUUAAUUGAUUAUUUAGUAAAUAAUAUAUGGAAAUAAUAAGUUGGCGUGACAUUACACAUGAUAAUAUUUUCCCGCAUCAUAUUCUGGAAAUAGAAAAUUUAAUGAAUUUAAUAAUUAUUGUUUGAUGAAAACUAAAAUUUUAAAAUUUAUAAAGUACAAAACUAAAAUAACCAAAUUAAAAUAUAGGGACUAAAUCCACAACUUUUAUAAAAUAUAAAAAUUAAUAGCACAAUUUAAAAAAAAAAGUGCAAUACAACUUAUGUGAUGAUUUAGAAUUAAUAGAAGGUUAAAGCUAGCUAUCAUAUGGUUUCCAAGUCCCAAAACAUAAUAAAUUUUUGGUAAUCCAAAUUUCUGGAUAUUAAUGUGCUUUGACUGAAUAUAGAACAGUAAUUAAGCAAAAACAUUUCAAUUUUCACUGUAUAAUGAUAGAAAAAACAGUAUCAUAUUACCUGCAUCAUGAUUCAUGCUUCCAACUAAUUGACUCAAGAGGAGGGUCAACAGGUUAGACAAAUCACAAUUCUAAUUUAAAGGAAAUUAGAAAAAUCAAUAAAAUCUAACCUUUAGAUAUUUUUCAUAGUAGUUUACGAUUCAUCAAGGGCGAUAUUAAGAGAUUGGUAGGAACUAAAUCUCUAAAAUAAAAAAUAUACAUCACAUUAGUCCUUUUAUAUUUUAUAAAAUUAUAAAAUGAUAAAUGACAUUUUAGCAUUAAAAUUUGAUAACAUUUUAAUCAUUUAAAAGUUAUAAAGAUAUAUGCUGAUGUAAACGGGCCAAUUUACCCGGGUCCACCAAAAUACAAAAUAAACAAAAAUUAAACCCGAACCCAAUACAAGCCCAAAUAAAUAAACAAAAAAUCCAAAUGUUAAUAGUCCAUUAAGUGUCCAGUUUACAGGCCCAACACACCAAGACCAAUGAUAAAAUCGGCCCAAAUACAAUAGGCCCAAUGCCCGAAAGCCAAAACCAAGGUAGAAACCCUAGCCUAUGGUUGCGUCGCAGCUAGCCUCCAGCGCCUCUGUACGCUCCAGCACUCCAGUAGUCAAGUCCGCGCCUCCGUACACCUCACGCCAAGGGCCAGCGCAUGCCCCGUACUCUAUACCUGCAAACGAACGAGACAAACAAAGCAGCAGCAAAUAGGAAACAAUGAAAGAAUUGUAUUUUUAUUUUUUGAUUUUCUUUCUUUUCGGCUAUAAAGCCAAGAGUUUUGAUUCUUGUAAGGGGACACGCACAAUAGAUACAUUUUUUGAAAUACAAAACGCAUAAAAAAAUCGAAAGGUGAGAUUCAGAUUUGGUUCUUUUUUUCGAUUUGUUUUCCUCUCCGUUUUCUCGUUUCUCCAGAUUUACAUAUUGCGCAUUUUGAACAUAAAAAUCGAAAAGGAAGAAAAGAGAAGCUUUACCUUUGUAAGUGCGCCAUGGAGAUCUCCAUCCCCUUCGUCGAUAUCGAAGGCGGAGAGAGGACUUCGUGGCUAGAGUCAUCAAACCUUAGAGUCGAGGAAAGAGGGAGCUCCACCGUAGGCUAUUAUCCACCAAUCGUGAUGGUGGAAUAAGGGCCGAACGGCGGGCUGAAUAAGAGCAAUCAUCUAGGGUUUCCAAUUUUCCCUUUAGUUCUGCAGAAAUGUUUUAAUUUUCAAGCUGAUUUUCCCUUUUAAUUGAAGGCAUGAAGCGACGCUGUUUCAGGCAAGAUUCAAUAGCCUUGAAACGACGCCGUGUAGGCUCGCCCAAUCGAAUCCGACUCGAAUACCCUCAAGACCCGUGUGUUUUUGCGGUGAAGGGUUAUUUGCACAUCUAGUCCAUUCCUUUCGCAUUAAUGCUUAAUUAGGCCUAGUCUAGAUUUCUUUAUUUUCUUUAAUCCGCCCUAUAAUUUGUGCACAUUUGUGUUUUGGUCCGCGCUUUAGUGAUGCGUUUUGUGACCUGGAUUAUUUCCAGUUCUAGUCCUUACGCACUUGCGCGCAUGGCAUAUUGGUCCCUAUUGUUAUUAUUGUUUUAUUUUCGAAAUUUUCCUUUGUUUUAGUUUAAUUUUAAUUAAGUCUAUUUGUUUUAUAGCCCUUUUUAUUCUUAAUUAAUUAUUUUUACUUUUUAAACAACUUUGGUAAUUGUUACUUUAUUAUUGUAAAUUUGUUUUUGUAAUGUUAUCAUCACAUUUUGUAUAUUUUAUAUAAAUGUUUAUUUCCUUUACAUUAUUAUACACAUGUAUAUAUACUUUAUAAUAAAGUUAAUGUUAUUUCAUACAUAUAGUGGUUUUUGACUCUAUCCAUGUAUUUUAACAUAUAUUUUUGCUAUUCUAAUAUGUUUUGUAUAUAUGUUUUGCAUAAAAUUUAAAUUAUUUUUAUACUUAUUUAUAUUAGUACAUGUAUUUGAUUUACAUACAUUGUUAAACCUAUACAUUUUAUACAUAUAGUCUUCUUUGUACAUAAACAUGUUCUUAAGUCUAUUAUAAUUUAUAAUAAAAAUAAUUUAAUGUUGUGUACAUUUCUAUGAUAUUUUUACAAACAAUUAUUUAUAAGUUUAUUUAUAUACAUAUGUAUAUAUAUAUGAUUUGUAGAUCCAUUAUAUUUUAAAGAUUAUAUUUUAUUAUACCUUUUAUUAUUAUUUUUAUACUUCACCCAUAAUUUAAAAUUUUCUUUAUUACGUGUAAAUCGUCAAUUUUAAACCAAUAUUCUUCAAUACUUUGCAUAUCAUUCGAUUUAAAAUAUUCAUCCCAUAACAUAUGUUUUAGUAAUUAUGUAUAUAUGUUUUUAGUUUGUUUUUACUAAUAAUUUUAAAUUCAUUUAUUUACAUAUUGUGUAAAUUAUAUUCGUCAUUAUUUUAAAAUCGUUUUAUAUCACAUUGGCUUCUAAUUGUUAUUUUGUUUUUGUUUUUUUACAUCUUGCAUUGAUUGUUUUAUAUCAUGUUAUGUAUAUUAUUUUGGCACAUUUUUAUGUAUUGUUUUGUUGUGUUGUAUUGUUGUAUUAUUAUUUUCUUUAUUGUAUUAUUAUAUCAAUUAUUUCCCAUGCAUGAUUGUAAUCAGGUUAUAUUUUUUAGGUUAAUUAUAUUUAAUUAUUUACUUUGUUAGUUGAUUAAAUAAGACACAUUAUCUCCACUCAUCAAAUAUCGUAUCUUAUGCGUGUGUAUUAUCCCAUAUCAUUGUUUUCUACUUGGUUUAUGAAAUUCGGUUUUGUAAGGUCCAAAUCUUUAAGAUUAAUUUCAUUUUAUUUCAAAUCGCAUUAAUGCAUUUUAAGCUAUUUUUAUAAUUAUCCAUUUAAAAAUUCUUUAAAACGAAGGCAAUACUCGGUGUUUGGAAAUUCAGAAAUCGUGCCCUAUCGUGCUGGGUUGUGAUUUCUCGUUUGUUCAAAACAAUCGAACAUUCCUUUGGAAUUUCACUCAUGACUUUAAAAAUUCUUCAAAAUGAAGGUAAUGUUCGAUGUUUGGCAAUUCGGGGAAUCGUGCCCUAUCGUGCUGGGUUGCGAUUUUCUGUUUGUUCAAACUAAUCGAAUAUUCCUUUGGAAUUUCACUCAUGUCUUUAAAAAUUCUUCAAAACGAAGGUAAUGUUCUAUGUUUGGCAAUUCGGGGAAUCGUGCCCUAUUGAUACGAGUAACUCAGCCCAAUUCAAAGGCCAUAAUAGAGAUGAGUUUAGUUUUCCUCAAGGCCCAAUUACGAGAUCCAAAUCCAAACAAAUAAAGUCAAAACUCAACUUAGUGGUUCAAGACUUUAUCACGAAAAAAAUUCAAGAAGAAGAGUUGAAGUUUCAAGACAAUAAAUUCUGGAGUAAUGAUGAAUUAGAAGAGACUAAUUAUGUUUGUGGGCCUAAACUCUCAAUCUAUGACGACAAGCCCAUGUGGAAAAUGCUAACAAGCUUAAGCAUUUCACUUCAAGAACCCCAAUUGAUCUUACAAGCUUAGACAUUUCAUAUUGGGUUUAAGUUUUAGGCUUAAUUUUUAUUAUAUAUAAGCACAAUAUUUUGUUUAUUAGCUCUUAUUAUUUUAUUAUUAUUUUAUUCCGAAUUUUUUUAUAAUUAUUAAGUAUUUUAAGUUAUUUAGGAAUUUUAUGUUAACAAGAAAGUUUUGUUUAAAACUACUUCUUGUUUAGAUUAAAUUAGAGUUCUAGUAUACUUAGGAGUUUUAUUUAGAUUUAUUUAUCUAGCCUAUAUAUAGGCCUUUGCAUUGUACACAGGGAGACAAUUGAUUAUUAUUCUAUUUCUCUUUUGAGUUAAUAAAUUCUCUUUGAGUUUUUUCUUUUCAAGAAUUUCUCUUGAGUUUCUUUUAGAAGAGUUUUAACAAUCUUUUUAGAUUGUGGGGAUCAUCUUCAAACUUUUUCUUGCCAAGGUUUUUAUCUUGGAGGGGAAAUUAGAGCCGCUUGAAGGGGGUUGUAGAUUCUUCGUGUUUCCAAGGCUUCUUAGGACUUUUACACGCCACGUUCUAUCUUUCCAUUUAUCUUCUUUAUUCACUUCCUGAAUCCUUGAUUUAUUAUUUGUUUUAAUUAUUUUAUCUAACUUGGAUUUAAUUUCGUUUCAGGUUGUGUCAAGAAAAAUCCAAGUUUCUUUCCGAACGUCUAGAGCCCUAAGUCAAAUCCGCGACUUUGACAAACUUUACGAUCCGCUUUCGCGUUCAUCCUUCUCAACCUUUAUCAUUUGGUAUCAGAUUUGGGCGUUUUAGGUGUUCUUUUUUAAAUUGAUUUCUCGAAAACAGCUUCAAAACAAAUUUUACCCCUACAGUUUUCAAAAAAAAUAUUUCUCAGUGGGUAAACGAUUUUCAAAUGAUCUAAAAUUUUGCAUACUAUUUCUUGGCACUAUUUUAAAGUAUAAAAAAAUAUUUCCCACAAAAAAAAGUGAUAAAAAAAGUACAAAAAAUAAAAUACGAAAAAAAAAUAAAAAUAAAAAUCUGUGGGUUGAAUUUUGUGCCGAAACUUUCCAGAUCAAAUCUACAUUAUUUGAGGAGGCUUCAGUUUUAAUUUUGUGAUUUUUGGAAAUCGGGAACACCUUGAACAAAGUUUGUCAAGUUGCUUCGCAGUUUUUCGGGUUUUCGGGUUUCAACAAUUUUCAUUGACUCUUAGCUUUAAGUAUUCAUUUGUUUUCCUUUUUAUUUGUUCCUUACGCAUUCUAACACUUUCUUGUUUCUUGUGUUAGUAGGUUAAAGCACGUUGCAUAUUCCUUCAUCCGUGCAACAAAAUUCUUUGAUGUCUAAGCAAAUUUUGGACUCAUAGUGCUAUUAGCUUUGCUUUGAUAGUUUGAUUCUAAAACAUCUUGAUUGAUUGAUAUAGACACUUUUAAAAGACUCACAAGAUUAAUUCUUACCUCAUUGAGAAUUUUUUUUUGAGUGCAUAUAGGUGAGGUUUGCUUAAUUUUUUCUUUUGAAGUGUUGUGCUUUUCCAGGCUUUCACUAUGACUCGUGACACUCGUGCCCGUAAAAACCAUGAUGAGAUACCAUCUGAUGACAAAGAACAAGAUGUUACAUUGGAGAAUAUUGUGGGGAUGGUAAAAUUGCAACAUCAACAAUUGAACGAGGUACGUGAUACAUUUGAGGCCAAUUUGACUACGUGUCGAACAGAACUACAAGAGAACAUUAAUCAGCUUUCCAAUCAUAUUCAAUUGCUCACUCAAGCUGUUGCUCGUUUGGAGACUUCUUCGAAUCGACGAUCUCGUGCUCGUGAUAGUGAUCAUGAUAGGGAUAAUGAACAACUUCGUAUUCGUUCUAAUCCUGGUAGACACGAAUAUCGUCACAUUGAUGAAACUUUGGGUAUUUCUAAUCAAGGCCAUCCUUCUAUCGCUAAACCAAAGUUCAACAUUCCACCAUUCCAAGGAAAGUAUGAUCCAGAUGCAUAUUGCGAUUGGGAGGAUAAAAUGGAGAUCAUGUUCUGUUGUUAUAAGUGUCCGGAGGAGGAGAAGUUCCAUUAGCUAUAUUGGCAUUUUCUGAUUAUGCAUUGAGUUGGUGGACUCAACUUGUGUUGAACCGCCAAAGGAAUCGUGAACGAGAUGUUGAUUCAUGGGAACAGUUGACACAAAUCAUGCGAAAACGUUUUAUCCCACCUCAUUAUUAUAGGGAUAUUAAACGAAGACUUCAACGCCUUGUUCAAGGUAAUCGAUCUAUUGAUGAGUACUUUAAAGAGAUGGAGAUGCUUAUGCAUAGAGCAAAUAUCCAAGAAGAUGAGGAGACUACCAUGGUGCGGUUUGUAGAUGGUUUGAAUGUUUCGAUAGCCAAUGUUCUUGAUCUUCAAUCCUACAUUGAUCUUGAAGAUACGGUACGUAAGGCAAUUGAGAUUGAGCGACAGUUUCAAAAACGUCAAUCUCGUUCAUUUAGUACUUCACAAUAUUAUAAAGGUACGAGUUCUAAUUCUACUUUCAAGAAUUCGAAAUUUCCUUUUGCUACUAAUAAGUUGCUGCCAAAACAUGAUGAGACUAAAUCUUUUGAGGGGAACAGUGGGGCUCCUACAAAACCUUCUUCUUCAUCUUCUAAGCAAUUCACUUCUACUACUUCACCAAAAAAAACAACGAGCUCGUGAAAUUGAAUGUUUUAAGUGCAAAGGGCGUGGGCACUAUAGCCGUGAUUGUGCCAACACAAGACUUUUGUUGAUCAAAUAAGAGGUGAUUAUACUUCUGAUUUCGAUAAAACAGACCCAGAUAUGCCCGAAUUAAUUGAUGAUGUCAACGAUUACGGUAAAUUUUAUGGUGAAGAAGAGUUGGUGGAACCACUAACUCAUCCCCGAUGUUUAGUUGUGAGGCGCACACUCAACAUCCAAUUGAAGGAUGAUCAUGAUCUUCAACGGAGUAAUAUAUUCCAUUCGAGGUGUUUGAUUAAAGGUAUACUUUGCUCAUUUAUCAUUGAUAGUGGAAGUUGUGCUAACGUUGUGAGCAGCUACCUUGUGGAUUCUCUUGCUUUGCCAUGUAGCAAACACCCUACACCAUACCAUCUUCAAUGGCUUAACGAAGGUUCGGAGGUCCGUGUGGUAAAACAGUGCUUGAUCACUUUUAAAAUUGGGACUUACAUUGAUGAUGUUUGGUGUGAUGUCGUUCCCAUGCAUGCCGCCCACUUGUUACUUGGUAGACCAUGGCAGUACGAUCGUGAUGUUAUUCAUCAUGGUAAAUUAAAUCGAUAUUCUUUUAUUUUCAGUGGGAAAAAGUACACUUUCACCCCUUUGAAUCCGAAAGAUAUUCACAAUGAUCAAAUCGACAUGAUGAAGUUUUGUAAGGAGGUUAUGGGAAGUAAGACACAAAAUUCAAAAAAGGCUGAGAGAAAAGAGGUCUCUAGUGAAAAAAGCCAAAUUAAUAAUGACCCAAUGGUGAGUGCAUCCUCUUGUGAGAAAAAAAGAGUGGUUCAUAAUUUUUAUGCGAGUGGAAAAAAUGUGUGACGAGCCUUACUCACUAAACAACCUUGCAUCAUUAUUCGAUUUAGGCAAAACUGUUUAUCUUUGACUAACCUUCAUAACUCUUUGCCUAGUGUUUUUAUGUCUCUUUUGCAGGAAUAUGAAGAUAUUUUUGAAGAAGCACCUAAAGGAUUGCCACCUUUGAGGGGUAUUGAGCAUCAAAUUGACUUAAUACCUGGGUCAACAAUUCCAAAUCGACCAGCUUAUAGAAGCAAUCCCGAUGAGACGAAGGAGUUACAAAAGCAAGUAGAUGAACUUUUGGCGAAGGGUCACAUUCGUGAAAGUUUAAGUCCUUGUGCAGUGCCAGUAAUUCUGGUGCCAAAGAAAGAUGGUUUUAUAGUAAGUGCUCAAGGUAUUCAUGUCGAUGAGGACAAAGUAAAGGCAAUUAGAGAAUGACCCACUCCUAAAUCAAUUACCGAGGUGAGAUCUUUCCAUGGUUUAGCAAGUUUUUAUAGACGUUUUGUGAAGGAUUUCUCCACUAUUGCUGCUCCAUUAACUGAGAUUAUUAAAAAAUCUGUGGGUUUUAAAUGGGAAGAAGUUCAGGAAAAGGCUUUUCAAACUUUAAAGGAUAAGUUAUGUUCUGCUCCGGUUCUUAAAUUACCUGAUUUUUCUAAUACUUUUGAACUUGAAUGUGAUGCUUCAGGUAUUGGAAUUGGUGCCGUGUUGAUGCAAGAAAAAAGGCCAAUUGCAUAUUUUAGUGAAAAACUGACAAGGGCACAAUUAAACUACUCAACUUAUGAUAAGGAGUUGUUGGCAUUAGUCCGAGCUCUACAAGUUUGGCAACAUUACUUGUUGCCAAAUGAGUUCGUUAUCCAUACAGAUCAUGAAUCCCUAAAAUGGUUAAAGGGACAAUGUAAGUUAAGUAAGAGACACGCUCGAUGGGUGGAAUUCAUAGAGACAUUUCCAUAUACAAUUAAGUAUAAAAUAGGUAGAGAAAAUGUAGUUGCUGAUGCCUUAUCUCGUAGAUAUUCUUUGAUAACUACAUUAAAUGCUAAAGUCUUAAGGUUUGAACAUAUAAAAGAUUUAUACUUAAAUGAUAUUGAUUUUGCAAAUGUUUUUUCUAAUUGUGGGAAUGGUGCCUUUAACAAGUUUUAUCUUGUAGAUGGGUUUCUUUUUCGCCUAAACAGGUUAUGUGUUCCACAAUGUUCAAUGAGAGAGUUAUUAAUUCGUGAAGCACAUAGUGGAGGCCUCAUGGGACACUUCGGUGUCGCCAAAACACUAGAUAUUCUACAUGAACAUUUUUAUUGGCCGCACAUGAAAAAUGACGUUGAAAAGGUCUGUUCUAAUUGUAUUACUUGUAAACAAGCAAAAUCUAAGGUAAUGCCUCAUGGACUUUAUACUCCUUUACCGAUCCCUUCUUCGCCAUGGGUAGACUUAUCUAUGGAUUUCAUUCUUGGUUUACCACGAACAAAAAAGGGUCGAGAUAGUAUCUUUGUUGUUGUUGAUAGGUUUUCAAAGAUGGCUCACUUUAUUCCUUGUCACAAAACGGACGAUGCUACACAUGUGGCUGACUUAUUCUUUCGAGAGGUGGUGCGCCUACAUGGGAUACCUUGCACCAUUGUAUCAGACAGAGACGUAAAGUUCCUAAGCCACUUUUGGAAAGUAUUGUGGGGUAAGCUUGGUACUAAAUUAUUCUAUUCUACUACAUGUUACCCCCAAACAGAUGGACAAACUGAGGUAGUCAAUCGAGUCUUAGGUGCUUUACUACGAACUGUUGUGGGUAAGAACCUUAAAACUUGGGAAGAAUAUUUGCCAUUUGUUGAGUUUGCAUAUAACCGAUCUAUUCACUCUACAACUGCAUAUUCCCCAUUUGAACUUGUUUAUGGUUUUAAUCCACUAACUGUACUUGAUCUUGCACCAUUGCCUAUAGAAAACAUUUCUAGUUUAGACGGUGAGAAGAAAGCUGAAUUGGUGAAAUCCAUGCAUGCGAAAGCAAGACAACGAAUCGCCAAAACAAAUGAAACAACUGCCAACAAAGCUAACAAGCGGCGCAAGCAAAUUAUCUUUGAGCCCGGUGACUGGGUUUGGGUCCACAUGAGAAAAGAGCGAUUUCCAACUAAACGCAAAACAAAAUUGGACCCACGUGACGAUGGACCUUUUCAAGUACUCAAGCGCAUUAAUGACAAUGCAUAUCAAAUCGACCUUCCCGGUGAGUAAUGUUAGUGCCACUUUUAAUGUCGCUGACCUUUCUCCUUUUGAUAUUGCAGAUUCGAGGGCGAAUCCUUUUGUGGAAGAGGGGAAUGAUACGAGUAACUCAGCCCAAUUCAAAGGCCAUAAUAGAGAUGAGUUUAGUUUUCCUCAAGGCCCAAUUACGAUAUCCAAAUCCAAACAAAUAAAGUCAAAACUCAACUUAGUGGUUCAAGACUUUAUCACGAAAAAAAUUCAAGAAGAAGAGUUGAAGUUUCAAGACAAUAAAUUCUGGAGUAAUGAUGAAUUAGAAGAGACUAAUUAUGUUUGUGGGCCUAAACUCUCAAUCUAUGACGACAAGCCCAUGUGGAAAAUGCUAACAAGCUUAAGCAUUUCACUUCAAGAACCCCAAUUGAUCUUACAAGCUUAGACAUUUCAUAUUGGGUUUAAGUUUUAGGCUUAAUUUUUAUUAUAUAUAAGCACAAUAUUUUGUUUAUUAGCUCUUAUUAUUUUAUUAUUAUUUUAUUCCGAAUUUUUUUAUAAUUAUUAAGUAUUUUAAGUUAUUUAGGAAUUUUAUGUUAACAAGAAAGUUUUGUUUAAAACUACUUCUUGUUUAGAUUAAAUUAGAGUUCUAGUAUACUUAGGAGUUUUAUUUAGAUUUAUUUAUCUAGCCUAUAUAUAGGCCUUUGCAUUGUACACAGGGAGACAAUUGAUUAUUAUUCUAUUUCUCUUUUGAGUUAAUAAAUUCUCUUUGAGUUUUUUCUUUUCAAGAAUUUCUCUUGAGUUUCUUUUAGAAGAGUUUUAACAAUCUUUUUAGAUUGUGGGGAUCAUCUUCAAACUUUUUCUUGCCAAGGUUUUUAUCUUGGAGGGGAAAUUAGAACCGCUUGAAGGGGGUUGUGGAUUCUUCGUGUUUCCAAGGCUUCUUAGGACUUCUACACGCCACGUUCUAUCUUUCCAUUUAUCUUCUUUAUUCAUUUCAUGAAUCCUUGAUUUAUUAUUUGUUUUAAUUAUUUUAUCUAACUUGGAUUUAAUUUCGUUUCAGGUUGUGUCAAGAAAAAUCCAAGUUUCUUUCCGAACGUCUAGAGCCCUAAGUCAAAUCCGCGACUUUGACAAACUUUACGAUCCGCUUUCGCGUUCAUCCUUCUCAACCUUUAUCACCUAUCGUGCUGGGUUGCGAUUUUCUGUUUGUUCAAAAUAAUCGAAUAUUCUUUUGGAAUUUCACUCAUGUCUUUAAAAAUUCUUCAAAACGAAGGUAAUGUUCUAUGUUUGGCAAUUCAGGGAAUCGUGCCCUAUCGUGCUGGGUUGUGAUUUCCUGUUUGUUCAAAAUAAUCGAAUAUUCCUUUAGAAUUUCACUCAUGUUCUCUAAAUUCUAAAACAAGGCAAUGUCCGAUGUCUAGAAAUUCGAGGAGUCGUGCCCUACUGUGCUGGGUUUCGAUUUUCUCGUCGGACUAAAUAAUCGUGCAUCCUUUUGCGGUUUUUGACAUAUAAACUUUUGGAAGUCAAAAUUUAUCGUGUUUUCGGGGGUAUAAAGGAUCGUGUCCUAUCGUGUUGGAUGUGAUGCUGUAUUCCUUUGAAACAAGAGAAUUUUGACAACCAACUUGGGCUAUUCAAAUGUUUAUAAAAGGAAUCACAUUUCAAAAAAUAUUUUUAAAUUCUAGACAUAAGGACAGUAUUUAAUCAAUUUGGUACCAAUUUUGGGCGUAGUGAUGCUAAUCCUUCCUCAUGCGUAACCGACUCCCGAACCCGUUUUCUCAUAUUUUCGUAAGGCCAAAAUCGUUGUUUUAAUAAAAAAAAUAUUUUAUUAAAAUAACCAAAUUUCUAGGUGAUCCGAUCACACCUAAACUAAAAAGAUUGGUGGCGACUCCACAUUUGGUUUUAAAAGUCGAAUCCCCGUUUUUCUCUAAAUUUGAAAGAUGGUUUCGACAGCUGAUACAUUGAUAAAGUUGUAUUUUAGCUCUAAAAAGAAUACAUAACUUAAUUCUGCCCCUAAAAAAUAAUUUGACUUCAUCCUUAUGGUUCAUGUUGGCUAAUCUUUUUAGGGAUUGUGAUGGUUCUUCUUAACAAUGUCAUUUCUAAAAUUUGAACUAAAAUUUUCUCUUCGAAAAUGCAAAAUAUCUUACUAGUGUAACCAUCAAAAUUUAAAGAAUAAACUAAAGUUCAAGUGCAAAUUAAAGUCAAGAUAUGACAAGAUUUAAAAGUCAUGGUUGUCAAGAAUAUGUAAUAGAGUCAUCCAAUCCAUCCUAAAUGUCCUUCCUUGUUGGUUAAGCAUUUGGAAAACAAAAAAAAAUUUAAAAAGAAAGAGUGGAAUCACAGUUUGAUGAAAUAACAAGCUUGAUUGAUGAUUGUGUUGGUGAUUUUUAGUUGAAAAAUGUAAAGAAAUGGAAUCCAUGAACGGAUUGGAUUGUAAAGUUCAAGUUCUUACAAGACCAACGUGAGCUCCAAAAAUGUUCAAUUUCUGGCUUCGCACUUUGUUUAUAGAUUGCCCAUAUAUUGUUCAUCGGUUGGUCAUCUAAUCAUCUACUGUAUUUAGAGUAAGCUGUGGCCUUGGUAGCCCCAACAAUGAUAAAUUGGCUAUAUAAACCCUUUAAAAUAAUAGAGUAAUGCAUUUUAACGCACUCAAACUCACAUCCUCCUAUAUUGGUAAUAAUGCCGAUGCCUAUUGAGCUAAGACUCAAUAAUAUUUGAUGCACAAUGAGUAGAGAUUUUAAACUCCACAAGCAGAAUUAAAAGUUGACAAAUGUCCUAUAAAAUUAAUAAAAUAUUUAAAAAAAAAACACGUCAAUUUUUUAAAACUACUUAUAAAAUAAAAAAAAAUAAACUAUCAUUAUGUCGAAACUAGCUCUUCUUAUUAAUAGAUAUCUUUCCACACCCCUUUAAAUCACUUCUCAUUUAUUUUAGUUCCCUAAAGAAAAUAAAAAAUUAAUAUCAAUAUAAACAACUUAGUAUUUUACAAAAUGUAGUGAAAAGAUUUAGUGAGAUCCAAACCCAACAUUGGAUCAAUCUAAUAAUUGGCAUUUCAAAAUUGAUUUAUUAAUAAUAUAAACAUCACAUCCUUCAUUUUCAAUAUCAUAAUAUUUCAUGAAACAUCCUUUUUGGAAUCCCAUGACAUUUGUUUAAUAUUUGACUUCAAAAUCGUUACAUGACUAAUAAUAUGGUUAUAAAAUCAAUAGCAUUAUAUAAAAUUACUGUACAACCCAAUGAAGCAAUUGUUACUUAAUAAAGCGGACUCCUUAAUUAAGGGUAAAUUAGAUAAACAUGUAGUUUUUUACAAAAUAAUUAGAUAAACCGAUUUUAGAGAGAAAUAGAAAACCCUUCUUACAAUAAGUGCUUUCAAUUAACGUUGGAAAAUGAUUGUAAGAAGCGUUUUCCUUGAUUAGAUGUCAAUAGUUUUGUCCUCAAGUCAUGAGUUUAAUCCUUUUCCUACUCACAUUUGUAUUUUUUAUUUCAUGUAGUUUUAAAUUUUUUUAAUUUUAAUUAAUAACUCUUUUACUUAUAUAAAUAAAGCAAUAAAUAUGUAAUUAUAUAAUAAAAAAAUAUAUUAUAUAUAUCAUUAUCUUAAAAAUAUUUUUAAUUAAUAAAUAUUUUAUUUAUAUAUAAUAAAAAAUAAUUUUGAUUUUAUAAUAUUAGAAUUUACCAUACCCACAAUGUGGAUAAAAAAAUAAUGGUAUUUGAAAUAUUUUAUAAAUAAAAUAAUAAAUAUGUAAUUAUAUAAUAAAAAUAUAUAUUAUAUAUAUCAUUAUGUUAAAAAUAUUUUUAAAUAAUAACUCCUCUAUUUAUAUAAAUAAAUUAAUAAAAGUUAUAUAUUUUUUAUAUUUAUCAUUAUGUUAAAUAUAUUUUAUUUUUAACUACUUUGUUUGAUUUUUUUCUUUAUAUAAUUUUUUAUAUAUUAAUUAUUUAUUUUCUUCACCUACGUUCUAGGUGUGGUGAAUUCUAAUAUUAUAAAAUCAAAUAGUUAUUUCAAAUAUUAUUAUUAUUUUUAUAUGUAAGAUAUUUAAAAUAUCAUUGUUUUUCAUUUACAUUGUGAGUAUGGUAAAUUCUAAUAUUAUAAAAUCAAAAUUAAUUUAAUUUUAAUUAAAAAUAUUUUUAACAUAAUGAUAUAGAAAAAAAAAUAUUUAUUAUAUAAUUUACCUCUUAAUUUAUUUAUUUCAUAUUUAUAAUAAUAUUCUUUUUGUAAAAAAGAGAGAAAUAAUUAAACCAACGUAUAUAUAUAUAUAGUGAUUAUAUUAAUUUAAUUAUCAUAAAAUAAGAAAAAAAGAAGAAGAAGAAGAAGAGAAUGUUACUUUGUAGCGGAAAGAUCCAAUAGUCUGCACUAUUAAGGUUUAAUUUUCGUUUAUUAUUUUAUUUUUGUGCUCAUCGUAAAAUGAUUGGACAGACAAAAAGAAAUCCAAGGAUUAGGCUUUUAAAUUAUCCCAAUCUUAUCAAAAAUUAUAAAAGAAAGACACUUAUAAUGUUUUUCUAGUUUAGUCCUUAAAUUUUUUUUUACCAACGUUAAUCUAGGAAUUUGGCAACUUUUCUCAGCUCUCGUCCAUGUGAUGAUAUGGCAGCUUAAUAUUAUACCACAUAAUCAGCAAAUUUUUUUAUAAAAAAUAUAAAAUUUUGUCAUAUCAUUACAUGGAUCAAAAUUAGGAAAAGUUGACGUGUUCCAAUACUAAUGUAGAUCAAAAAUAGUUUAGGGACUAGGUUUGAAAAAGUUAAGAAGUUUAGAAACUAAAUGUUAUUUUAUCAUUCUUUUUUAAAUUCUAGAAUCAUUAUAAAAUAUCACCUAAUUGAAACCAUGGGGGUUAUAUGAGAUGGUAAGAGUCUCUCUUACCUUAACCAAUAGUUGAGGGUUUGAUUCUCGUUCUGGGUAUGAAACAAGACUAAAACUCAUGACCAAUGUCUUCUCCCUUAACAAGCCUACAAAAUACAAAUGGUUAAUAUUAGACUUGGUCCAAUGAAUACCUUGAGAGAGAAAAACAAAAGUAUGUUCAAAUUGACAAUCAAAAUAUAUUCAGAUAUCAAUCAAACCAUAUUUCAAAAUUUUUGAAACCUUAUUAACUCUUGGUUAUUAAAUUAAGUUAGUUAAAUAUGAAACAUUGAAAAAUAUAUAUUUCCCUCUUUUGUGUGUGGUUGAAGAAGAAGAACCACAAAUUAAAUUACAUAUCAAAUUACAUUCAUUAAAUCAAGAUUUAGUGGUCAUAAGAUUAUUAAAAUAAUCAAAGUUGAUUUGACCAACCAAAUAACCAGUGGGGUCUAAAGCACAUUUGAGCAUAGAUUAAGGGGAAAUUAAUUACUUGUUUUACGUCCGUAGGCGUCGCUUCAUUGGUUGAUUUCGAUGUUUUCAUUGAAAUUAUCGAGAAGUCAUUGUUAUUAUUUAAUUGAGGAAGACGACAAAUUAACUCAUCAACUUAACACUCAAUGCAAUUGAGCAUUUACUUAGGAAAAUUCAUAUGAAUUGUAUAGUGGUGCCAACAUAACUAUGAUUCAUCUUUCCCGGUCAAACUUUACAUCUCGAUGUAUUUAUAUAUUGAUUAGGCUACCUUAAUAUUACGUGAUAUAUAAUUAACGAGAAUUAAAUUUAAACUAAAAUUAUUAACAAUAAUAAUAGUCGGAUAAAGAUUUUUAAAUUGAAAACAUAGAAGGAUUGAAUUUAUAAAAUUUAUUAAAGUAUAAAGACUAACAACAUAUUUUAAUAAAAAAAAUUUCAAAGAACCAUAUGAAAUGAUCUUUUUUUAUUUUGGCCCAUAUUUCUUUGUUAAAUCCUAGAAUUUAUUUAUACACUAUUAUUUUAUGUUUAAUUGAGUUGAUCUCAUCUAUAAAUUGAGUUUCAACUCAGUUCUAAAUGACCAAAAACUUAUUUACUUUGCAAAAAAAAUAAAUCUUAUUUUGAUUAUAUUUAUAUCUUAUUAUUAUUUUGAUAAAUUUAAUAUAUAUACAUAUAUACAAAUGAUGAGAAUCAUGGGGUAUGAACCAAAAUAUCAUAACUUUCAAUAUCUAGACUUCGCUAUGUAUGAAAAAGAAAAUAGAGCUCAAUUUUUUCAUUUAAGUUAAAGUUAUAUUUAAUUUUUAUAUUAAUUUUUUUUUAUAAAUUUAUUACAUAAUUUCUUUUCACUCACAUCCGCAAAUGUGGCAUAAUCUAUUUUUUUAUAUUUUUUUGAAUUUUUGUUUUUUUUAUUUAGCCAUUAUUGAAUCGAAAGUUCAAUAUGUUGAAUCAAGAAUUGAUAAUCUAAAGGGUUUAACAUCGAUCCAAUUUCUUUAAAAAUUAUACUUAUAAUAAUAGUGCGAGAUUGUCUUUUUUAAAUUUAGUUAAAAGAUGUUUUUCAUAAUACUAAAAUUUAGAUCAAAAUAUACUAUCAAUUCCUCUACGUUCAUAAAGUUGAGAUUUAAUCCUUAUGAUAAAAAAAAUAAAAAAUUAAAUUCUUUACUUUUUCAAUUAAAAAGACCGAGUCCAAUCAUUAAUUUCUUUAGCAGUUUCUAUCAAAACAUUUUAACUGCUAUGUUUAUUUUUCAUAAAUCAUAUAUUAAUGAUAACUUAAUUAACAAACCAAAUUUGUAAAUUUUGGUGAAAAAUACUAUCAAUUUUAAUAAUUGGAUUAGGAUUUUUUAAAUAAAAAAACUAAAAACAUUAAUUUUAAUUUUUUAAUGGUAUGGACAACAUGUUUUAACUUAAAAUUUAUGAAAAUUGCAAUUCAGUCCAAAUUGAAUUAAUCAAUUUAGUUAGUGAAAAGAUCUUUAAAAAAAAAGUCAAGAUUGCUAAUAUAAAUGUCAAAUUGUUGUUCUUUGACCCUAUUAGUCCUAAAAGUGAUAUAAAUAUUGGAUAUUAGAAUGAAUACUUUUCUUGAUUAAACCCUAUACUUUGGGUUACAAUGUGGAUGCCACAAUAUCCUUUGUCAUGAAACCGAAGUAGAGUUUGGUCUUCAUAAGGCAUUAGAAUUAGUUACCAAGGGGCAUAUGCUUUUGCAAGCUUAAGGAAUUAAUUAAGAGUGUGUUUAUUAUUGAGGUUGAAAGGGAUAAAUUAUAAUUUUAAAUAAUUUUUUUGGUAAAGAGGUAAUUUUUCAAAUCAAACCUUAAUUUUAAAUUAAUAUUUUUUUAUGUACAAGAUACCAAUAAAAAAAAAAUCACAUUAAACUACUAAUAUUCAGCGGAUUCUCUGCAAACCUUCAUUCUGGUAAAAAGCCAACUUUGCAAUGCAAUCAACUUCCAUGUUUUCUUCUCUAAGGAUAUGAACAAAAUUCCAUUGAACCAUUUCUAAAAAAAUCUGCUGAAUUCGCUUAAUAAGUGCUGAAUGAAAAGGCCUUGUAAACAUUUCUUUCAUUGACUGUAUAACCUCGAUGCUAUCUGUCCAAAUUGGCACUUUGUCCCAUUUCUUGUUUUGAAAAAUAACCAAUCCGUCUAGAAUAUCCCAUAAUUCAGCAUUGAAUACAAAACACUGCCCCAACCUUCUAUUAAAUUCAAGAAUCCACUGGCUAUGAUGACCCUUCAACAUUCCACCAGUAGUAAAUUUUUUCGAGUUCAAAAAGUCAAAAUUUUUAACUUUUGGCUUUUGGGAAAAUGCUUUUCCAUGAGAUUAUCUUUUUUAUCCCCUAUUUAAGUCUUCUACUUUAUAUGUCUAAAAUUGUUAUCUUAUCUUCGCAAAAGCACUUUUUGACAACAUUGAUAAAUGCUAUCAAAAUUUAAAAAAACACUUUUUCUAACGCAUUUUUUAAAAGCAUUUUUCAACCUUAAUAGUAAACUAGCCCUAAAUUGUAUUUAAUAUUGAUGUCAAUAAGUACAUAAUAUAUGGCACAUCAUUUCAUUGUGUCUUGCAAUUGCAAAUAAUAUGAUUUGGAUAAUAAAUAGUAAGGUUUUUGUUAAAGUUGUGUGACCCAAAUGCUAAUAGAUUGUUUACAAGUCAAGUUAAACAAAAUAUAUUUUCUUUCUAGAAGAUUUGGUAUUUAUGAGUAUAAUAUAUUUAGCAUUUAUUAGCAUAAUAUAUUUCACUUUGAUUAGAAUUAGGUUUUUUCAAUCUAUAAAUAGAUGUAGUCGAAACUCCUCUUGUAAUCAUUCGAAUUCAACAUAGUGAAUUUUCUUUUCCUCUACCCGUGGUUUUUUCCUGAAAGGGUUUCUGCGUAAAAUUUGUGUGUUCUUUAUUUUUCUUUAUUUUAUUUUAUUUUUACAAAUUGGUAUCAAAGCUUCUGGGUUGUUCAUCUCAAUCACGGUAAUGGCGUCUUUGAAGUAUGAAAUUUCGAUGUUGGAUCACAACACCAGAUUUACAUUGUGGCAGAUUAAGAUGCAAGCAGUUCUUGCGCAGAUGGAUCUAGAGGAUGCCCUGCUAGGGAUAGAUAAGAUGCCUUCGACUUUAACAGAUGAAGAGAAGAAGCGUAAGGAUCGAAAGGCAUUAACAUAAUUACAUCUGCAUUUUUCCAACGAAAUUUUGCAGGAUGUGAUGAAAGAGAAGACCGCCGCUGCAUUAUGGAAAAGACUAGAACAAAUAUGUAUGUCGAAAACUCUAACAAGCAAGUUGCAUAUGAAGCAGCGUCUUUAUGCUUAUCAUUUGGAGGAAGGUGCGUCCGUACACGAACAUUUAACAGUGUUUAAAGAAAUUCUCUCAAACUUGGAGGCCAUGGAGGUUCAGUAUGAUAAGGAAGAUCUAGGGUUAAUUCUACUUUGUUCGUUGCCCCCGUCUUAUUCAACCUUUAGAGACAUGAUUUUAUAUAACCGUGAGUCUCUCACAGUUGAUGAGGUUUAUGAUUCUUUGACCUCGUAUGAUAAGAUGAAACAUCUUGUGGUUAAACCUGACUCUUAGGGAAAGGGUCUCAUUGUUCGUGGGAGACAAGAUCGGAA
rnacentral:lncRNA from 1 species